GUUGCAAUUAAUUGGACUGGGCUAACUUGGACUCUCUUGGCAGGGAAAAGAAGAAGAGAGCAGAGAGAUUGGAGACGCCCAAGCCGAACGAGGCUGUUGCAAAAUUCGAUGGAAGCACUUAUCCCUUGAAGCAUUAACUCAACCUUUCCCCAGAGGAGAGCUUGUCCGGAUAACAGAUAUUAACAGUUAUACAUCUGGAUAGCGUUGAGAACUAUCGGGGGCAUCUUUGGCUGCUCUUUGCGUGGUGUAGUACUCGGCGGUACAAAAAGAUCCAGAUUAUUCGCAGUAGUUGGUAUUUUGUAAUUUCUCCUUCUCUGUGUUCGAAUGUACCGUUUUCUUCACUUCGUUGACAAUAUAUGAAGAGUUAUCUGGUGGUGAAUGUUACUCACAAGAUGAGAAAUCAUAUAUUUUGGUGAAAAAGAAGUCAUUCUGACUGGUGCUGUUAAUCUGAAUCUGCGUAUAAAAAGCUGAAAUUUGCAAGUAUCUGUGGUGGAAAUCAUCAUAAUAGAUCGUAGUAUGGCUGUGUGCAUCUUAUGAUGUAGAGACCGUGGUGCUCCCCUUCUUUAAAAAAAAGGUUAUUUCAUGCUGGAUCAUCAAAAGUACCCAAGUGACUAAAGCAGCAUAAUAGAAGUAAAAUGUACUCCCUCAGUCGCACAAUAUAAAAGCGUUUUGCAAGUAAGGAAACUGGAGAAUUUUACAAGAUGCGUGUUAGAUGUGUGAAUGGUUUAUAACCUAUGAGUAGUAUUAGAUCGAUUCAUCAUGAAAAAAACAACUACUAUUUGCAAGCAACUUUGCCGGUGAAGUUGAACCUGGAUUCUGGCCAUUUUCAGUGCAAUUGCCUCAAGCACAGGUCCGAUGUAGGAUUCCGGCCUUUUUCAGUGCAAUUGCCUCAAGCACGGGUCCGGUGUACUUGAAUGGCAAAGCUGACGCGAAUCAAUGGGUGAUUCGAAGCCAACUGAAGCUGAAACAAAUACUCCUUCAGUGGCAAAGCUGAUUCACGCGAAUCCACGGGUAAUUCGAAGCCAACCAAAACUGCAUUGUUUCCAGGAAGGACCAAUAUGCAUUUAUACAGUUAUUACAGGGCCAGAGCCCAGAGCUGCCAAGGUCAUUUUUACGCCAUAUCUUUCCGGUCCCACGCACCCUGACGACCACAAAUCACAAGCGCUCUGAAGCCCCACCAUCCAAUCCUGGGUCUCCACGUGUCGCCUACGUCCAAUGCAACCUCCCCCGUUCAUAGGACCAUACAGAUAAGACUCGGAUAAGGCAGAGCCGGCCUUGCCCGUCAGAUAGAUCNNNNNNNNNNNNNNNNNNNNNNNNNNNNNNNNNNNNNNCUGAAGCGUUUUGAACGUGUAUAAGAGGCACAUAAAAAGAAAUCGUGUGAUUAUAUACACAAGAGAAGCUUAAUCAUGUGAAGUAUAACCAAAUAAAGGAUCUUUGUCUGAACUUUUCAUUUACUCUGAAUCUUUUGCAGAUAUUCCACCUACUGUGGCAGAUACAAAGAUGAACUUCCUGAAGUCGUACAAACGUCCUAUUCCAAGCAUUUACAGUACAGUUCUACAAGAACUUUUGGUGCAGCAACAUCUGAUGAGAUACAAAAGUACGUAUCAGUAUGAUCCUGUGUUUGCUCUUGGAUUUGUCACCGUCUAUGACCAGCUUAUGGAAGGGUACCCCAGCAACGAGGACAGGGAUGCCAUCUUCAAGUCAUAUGUAACGGCGUUAAAUGAAGAUCCUGAGCAAUACAGGUGCAUAACAGAACUCAUAUAAAUGGCUUUGAACCAGUGACAUGUUAGCAUCUUUUUCUUUAUAUUAGAUUGUAUUUUUCUUUUCAUAUCCAUAUCCUGAAUCCUCAAAUUAAUUUUCAUAACUAUUGGUACACGUGGGAUUGUUAUAAUUCUCUUCUGUAAAUGUUAUAUCUAUUACCCCUCGUCUCAUUUAAAUAUGUUAUAAACAACCCUUAUUUUUUUUCUUAGAGAGGUUUUAUUAACUUAUGCGCCUUAUUGUUUCUGUUAAAAUUUCCCAGUUUACACUAGUUAUUGCUUACAUGUUUGUAUGUUUGGGUCACUAGUUAGUCUGCUUCCUUGGCACCAAAAUCUCAUGUAUUAUUUGUUACUAGUUCAUUUGCUUUGUUGGCAUUAGUAAAAGUUUUUCCUCUGUAAGAAUUUUUUGUUUCAAACAAAUAUUAAGAGUUUUUACUUCUCUGUUUAGGGCUGAUGCACAAAGGAUGGAAGAGUGGGCACGCUCACAAAAUGGUAAUCUGUUAGUUGAAUUUUCUUCCAGAGAUGGGGAAAUAGAGUCCAUUCUGAAAGAUAUAUCAGAAAGGGCCCAGGGUAAGGGAAACUUCAGCUACAGCCGGUUCUUUGCUGUUGGCUUGUUCCGUUUGCUUGAGCUCUCAAAUGCGACGGAGCCAACCGUACUGGACAAGGUUGUUCUUGCCAUUAAUUAUUUUGUUUUCACAUUUCCUGCUAGUUGUUACUUUUUUCCCAAUUGUUUUUUCCUUUUCCCAUUAUUGUUUGUUUCCUAAUUUUCAUUUUGAAAGGAAUUAUUUUUUCGGACUAUUUUUCUUUUUGAAGAAUAAUAUUUUUCUAGAAUUGGGUACAAAAAGAGUCUGAGUCAAUUGUCCAUAUCACCCAUCUCUUCUUUACAAAACCAUUAAAUUGCCUAUUUUCCCUCCCGAAAGCAAACAAUAAUUAACUAAUUAGCUUUAAAAAAAUGAUGAAGAGCAAAGUAGGAACACAAUGGCAUUGAUGAAGGGAGUAUUAGAACUGUAGGAGUGGAGGACAAAUAUUUUGAGAAAAUGUGAACAGCCGAAAAAGACAUCUAUAAUUUAAACGGGAGUGAGUUCAAUUGUACCUUCAAAUUUGUCAUGAAUAAUAGUUUCACAUUUUUUUUUCUAAUUAAUUACUAUAUAUGCACACAAAAAUUAAACAGUAACGUUGCUCUAGACACUGCAAAAUCUGAAACUUCAUCUAUUUUGGAACAGAGGGAGUAAACCAAUUGAGGGGAUGAUUUGCAUCUGAUAUUUAUUUAUUUAGUAACCAGAAGUGUUUUAGGACCACCAUCGCGUUCUUUCAUUGCAAAGAUAGAAGUGCUAACCUUAUUGUAUUUACAUAGCUUGCCUGCUGUACUGGCCAUCCCCAAUAUUGUUAAGGGGUUGGUUUUUCUUGAGCUGAAAUAGGAAUAACAUAUUAGAGAAUUCAACACAUUCGACGCAAGUUGCUUGGUGGCGUGCCUCUAUGUGCACAUUCAGAUUUUUCUAUUGGCAGACCGCAGACCCAUUGACGUUAGGCUUGCUGCUAGAUUUAUUUUUCAACCUCUACUUUCCACCGGUAUGCUACGCUCUUCUACCCAGUACAGUAAGGCAACCUUGUGACUCCGUACUUCUCUAUUUUGUGUUUCAAGUAGAUAUAUGCGAAUUGAUGGCGUGCAAUUUCUGCUUUGUCUUAAGAUGCCAUUUACAUUCUUGUGUUUCCUCUUCUCUCUUUACUCGUCUCUGAAUGACCAUAGAAAAGAACAACUCUGCUAGCUUAAUAAUUCGGACCAGGGCUGCCUAACUUUUCUCGUACUGCCCAGCAGCGAACUUAGUAGCAGUAGCAUGAAGGGUAAUACUUGAAAAGCACUGAAGUACAUCAGACAUAGCAUUUAUAUUGUUUUUGGAUGAUUUUAAAAUGGAGGGCAGUUUUAUUUUCUCAAACACGCACCAAAAUUAUUAGUAUUAGAAGAAAAACGCCAAGAAGGCGCAAAAUGAGUAUAGUCUUAGGCAUUAUUUGCUGAUAUAACAAUAGAUACUGACUUUUCUUCUUGCUCAAUAGCUUUGCGCUGCUCUAAACAUCAAUAAAAAAAGCGUGGAUAGAGACCUUGACGUUUACCGCAACUUACUGUCGAAAUUGGUUCAAGCCAAGGAACUUCUUAAGGAAUACGUCGAGAGGUAAUCUCUUCUACCAGUUUUACCUUGUAAGACUUUUGUUGCAAUUAAUUGGACUGGGCUAACUUGGACUCUCUUGGCAGGGAAAAGAAGAAGAGAGCAGAGAGAUUGGAGACGCCCAAGCCGAACGAGGCUGUUGCAAAAUUCGAUGGAAGCACUUAUCCCUUGAAGCAUUAACUCAACCUUUCCCCAGAGGAGAGCUUGUCCGGAUAACAGAUAUUAACAGUUAUACAUCUGGAUAGCGUUGAGAACUAUCGGGGGCAUCUUUGGCUGCUCUUUGCGUGGUGUAGUACUCGGCGGUACAAAAAGAUCCAGAUUAUUCGCAGUAGUUGGUAUUUUGUAAUUUCUCCUUCUCUGUGUUCGAAUGUACCGUUUUCUUCACUUCGUUGACAAUAUAUGAAGAGUUAUCUGGUGGUGAAUGUUACUCACAAGAUGAGAAAUCAUAUAUUUUGGUGAAAAAGAAGUCAUUCUGACUGGUGCUGUUAAUCUGAAUCUGCGUAUAAAAAGCUGAAAUUUGCAAGUAUCUGUGGUGGAAAUCAUCAUAAUAGAUCGUAGUAUGGCUGUGUGCAUCUUAUGAUGUAGAGACCGUGGUGCUCCCCUUCUUUAAAAAAAAGGUUAUUUCAUGCUGGAUCAUCAAAAGUACCCAAGUGACUAAAGCAGCAUAAUAGAAGUAAAAUGUACUCCCUCAGUCGCACAAUAUAAAAGCGUUUUGCAAGUAAGGAAACUGGAGAAUUUUACAAGAUGCGUGUUAGAUGUGUGAAUGGUUUAUAACCUAUGAGUAGUAUUAGAUCGAUUCAUCAUGAAAAAAACAACUACUAUUUGCAAGCAACUUUGCCGGUGAAGUUGAACCUGGAUUCUGGCCAUUUUCAGUGCAAUUGCCUCAAGCACAGGUCCGAUGUAGGAUUCCGGCCUUUUUCAGUGCAAUUGCCUCAAGCACGGGUCCGGUGUACUUGAAUGGCAAAGCUGACGCGAAUCAAUGGGUGAUUCGAAGCCAACUGAAGCUGAAACAAAUACUCCUUCAGUGGCAAAGCUGAUUCACGCGAAUCCACGGGUAAUUCGAAGCCAACCAAAACUGCAUUGUUUCCAGGAAGGACCAAUAUGCAUUUAUACAGUUAUUACAGGGCCAGAGCCCAGAGCUGCCAAGGUCAUUUUUACGCCAUAUCUUUCCGGUCCCACGCACCCUGACGACCACAAAUCACAAGCGCUCUGAAGCCCCACCAUCCAAUCCUGGGUCUCCACGUGUCGCCUACGUCCAAUGCAACCUCCCCCGUUCAUAGGACCAUACAGAUAAGACUCGGAUAAGGCAGAGCCGGCCUUGCCCGUCAGAUAGAUCNNNNNNNNNNNNNNNNNNNNNNNNNNNNNNNNNNNNNNNNNNNNNNNNNNNNNNNNNNNNNNNNNNNNNNNNNNNNNNNNNNNNNNNNNNNNNNNNNNNNNNNNNNNNNNNNNNNNNNNNNNNNNNNNNNNNNNNNNNNNNNNNNNNNNNNNNNNNNNNNNNNNNNNNNNNNNNNNNNNNNNNNNNNNNNNNNNNNNNNNNNNNNNNNNNNNNNNNNNNNNNNNNNNNNNNNNNNNNNNNNNNNNNNNNNNNNNNNNNNNNNNNNNNNNNNNNNNNNNNNNNNNNNNNNNNNNNNNNNNNNNNNNNNNNNNNNNNNNNNNNNNNNNNNNNNNNNNNNNNNNNNNNNNNNNNNNNNNNNNNNNNNNNNNNNNNNNNNNNNNNNNNNNNNNNNNNNNNNNNNNNNNNNNNNNNNNNNNNNNNNNNNNNNNNNNNNNNNNNNNNNNNNNNNNNNNNNNNNNNNNNNNNNNNNNNNNNNNNNNNNNNNNNNNNNNNNNNNNNNNNNNNNNNNNNNNNNNNNNNNNNNNNNNNNNNNNNNNNNNNNNNNNNNNNNNNNNNNNNNNNNNNNNNNNNNNNNNNNNNNNNNNNNNNNNNNNNNNNNNNNNNNNNNNNNNNNNNNNNNNNNNNNNNNNNNNNNNNNNNNNNNNNNNNNNNAAUCUGGAGUACGACGACUGAUCUGUGUAUGGCGUACGUCGACGAUGUUGGCAGGUGGAGCUGGUGGACGGGUCGUCGUACCUGGGUCAGCCGCUGCCGUUCACGAUCACCACGCUCAUCUGGAUCGAGGUGCUGGUGAUCGGGUACAUCGAGUUCCAGCGCAACGCGGAGCUGGACCCGGAGAGGAGGCUCUACCCCGGAGGCUCCUACUUCGACCCGCUGGGACUCGCGGCGGACCCGGAGAAGAAGGAGACUCUGCAGCUGGCGGAGAUCAAGCACGCCCGCCUCGCCAUGGUCGCCUUCCUCGGCUUCGCCGUGCAGGCCGCCGCCACCGGCAAGGGUCCGCUCAACAACUGGGCCACCCACCUCAGCGACCCGCUGCACACCACCAUCUUCGACACCUUCGGCUCCUCUUAAGUGGUCGGUGGUCGAGCAGUUUCUGUCAGCUCAGCUGCAAAAUGGACGAACGCGCGUCCGUGUAACGAACGUGCUUUGGUUUUGUAUGACGAGUGAUGGAUGAGAGGGUAUCGCAAAGAUCCUUUGUUGAUUAUAAUGCUGGUCCGAUCACAUAGGAGAGCUGCUGGGACUUGGUGAUUUGUAAAAUAUGAACCAAUGGUGACUCAAUGCAUCCACUUGUACAUCAAUCUUGAGCUGAUUUUUUGUUUGUUUUUUGCGAUUACAAAGACGACAUCCACGCAAGCGCAAUUCCUAAUUACACUUCUUCUUAGGGCAGAACAAAUGAAGUGGCCAUUUAGAGCAAAAGUGCGGCAGGUCGUGGAAGGAGACAACAACACACAGUUCUACCAUCUGAUUGCCAUGAAAAACACAGAAAAAAGAAAGAACAAAAAUCAGCUCGAACAGGAGGAGGGUGGACACAAGAACCUGAAAUUAUACAUCUCCGAGUAUUAUAAAAGGCUCUUUGAAGCACGAGUGGACAAUUUUGUGUCGCUUGAUGAGCAGCUGGUUGGGAAUUUCGCACUACUCGAUGUUGAUGAGAAUGAAACUCCGUCAACACCUUUCACACAGAAAGAGGUGUUUGAAGCUAUUGCACAAAUGAGUAAUAGCAGGCCACUAGGACCGUAUGGAUUCGCAACAAAGUUGUAUAAAAGAUGCUGAGUGUGAGCUCAUGCCUAUGUUUCAUGAGGCCAACUUCAUUUAUUUCACCUAAACUUUUAGAAAACAAGGUUGUUGGCAAAAAAGAAGGGGGCAGUUCGUAUUGAGCAGUUCAGACCGAUAUGUCUGCUUAGUGUGAGAUUUAAAAUCUUUACUAAAGUUGGUAAUGAUUGCCUUGAGUUAUAUUUGAAGGGUUUGUCCAUAGACAUUGUUUGAAGACCAUCGAUUGGUUUCAAGGUUAUUAGAAGAAGAUUAUGUGUUGACCAAGGUGUUAUUCAAGGGAUUACCCAAUGAUUUGUCAUAAAUAAGACAAGAUACAAGGUUUAUCAAGACUAAGUCAAAGAAUGAAUCAAGUUGGUGAACACACAAAGUGUAUAAGAUGUACCAAGUGGGAUCAAUUGAUCCCAUGGUAUGGUAAACAUUGUCCAUUAUGCUUUGUGUAUUAACUCAUGAUCUACAUGGAAGUAUUAUGUGGGGUUAGGUAUGUUUCGAGGGCUUGCGUCAAGAGGAAGAUCUCAUAGAACUCAUGGAAGAUGACAUCAAGUGAUGAUCUUCACCAAGAUUGUGACGUGCAAUUUCAAGUGGAGCAUCACGAAAAGAUCACGCUUGAAGCUUGUCGUCCAUCGUGGUGACAAUAUAUUUGUGAAGACGUGCCGAAGAAUGUCUCACCCAUAAUCGUGUAUGGGGGAGUAAUAUAUUAGUCUUCAUCGAGCCAUCGCAAUCAAGAAAGGUGGUCCAACUUGAGGAGGACAAGAUCGUCAUAAUCUAGUGUCGGGGGAUGACCCCCGGGUAGGCUCAAGAAGACAAGACGACGUUUCAAAACAUCGGGGCGACCAACGCCCCUCAGUCCAGCCAGUUCCCUACCUGGCUGCUCCGGCCGGCUGCACGAGGUCAACCAAUGGCGAAGCUAGCUAGUCCAUGAAGCCGGGGCAAAAUACGAAGGGAUGUGGCUCAUGGCGAUUUGCCCACAAAAAUUGAUGAUUAAAUCACCAUCUCCUUCUAUAAUUUCAUGGGAGUUCCUGGGCAGAGCCCGGGCAGCUGCCCAGGGUCGCCGGGAGGUGGCUCCGCCACUGAGGUCAACCGACGUGUCCCGUGAGACACGACACGAAGACACUAUAGCCACAUCACUUCGCUGCACUCCAAUAGUCCAACACCGUUGACCAAUGAUGACACACUAUAGCCCGCGUCAUGCGUCAUCUUGCGCGUCCAUUUCAAUAGUGACACACUAUAGCAUGCAUCAUGCAUCACCUCGCGUGUCUUUUCCAAUAAUGUAAUAUGUCAUGUGUGUCAUUUCUUAUCCCCAAGGCCUCCCUUAUAAGAGGCACCACGAGAGCUCACUCAUGGUCAGGCACACUCAAGGAGGCUCUCACACCCACACUCUCUCCCUCUCAUUCUCACACAUGCAUGAGGCCAAGGAAAGGAGAUCACAACUCCCUCUUCAUCCUCAAAUACAGUUCCUGGUGUUGGAAAUAUGCUCUAGAGGCAAUAAUAAUUUGGUUAUUAUUAUAUUUCCUUGUUCAUGAUAACCGUUUAUUAUCCAUGCUAGAAUUAUAUUGAUUGGAAACUCAAAUACAUGUGUGGAUACAUAGACAACACACUGUCCCUAGUGAGCCUCUAGUUGACUAGCUCGUUGAUCAAAGAUGGUCAAGGUUUCCUAGCCAUAGACAAGUGUUGUCACUUGAUGACGGGAUCACAUCACUAAGAGAAUGAUGUGAUGGACAAGACCCAAACUAUAAACGUAGCAUAUGAUCGUGUCAGUUUAUUGCUACUGUUUUUCUGCAUGUCAAUGUAUCUGCUCCUAUGACCAUGAGAUCGUGCAACUCCCAGACACCGGAGGAAUGCCUUGUGUGUAUCAAACAUCGCAACGUAACUGGGUGACUAUAAAGGUGCUCUACAGGUAUCUGCAAAGGUGUGUGUUGGGUUGGCAUGGAUCAAGACUGGGAUUUGUCACUCCAUGUGACGGAGAGGUAUCUCGGGGCCCACUCGGUAAUACAACAUCACAACAAGCCUUGCAAGCAAUGUGACUAAGGAGUUAGUCACAGGAUCUUGUAUUACGGAACGAGUAAAGAGACUUGCCGGUAACGAUAUUGAACUAGGUAUGGAGAUACCGACGAUUGAAUCUCGGGCAAGUAACAUACCGAUGGACAAAGGGAAUAGUAUACGGGAUUAUACGAAUUCUUGACAUAGAGGUUCAACCGAUAGAGAUCUUCGUAGAAUAUGUAGGAGCCAAUAUGUACAUCCAGGUCCCGUUGUUGGUUAUUGAUCGAAGAAUGUCUCAGGUCAUGUCUGCAUAGUUCUCGAACCCGCAGGGUCUGCACACUUAAGGUUCGGUGAUGUUUCGGUAUAGUUGAGUUAUAUGUGUUGGUGACCGAAGGUUGUUCGGAGUCCUAGAUGAGAUCGCGGACAUCACGAGGGUUUCCGAAAUGGUCCGGGAACGAAGAUUAAUAUAUAGGAAGUCCUGUUUUGGUCACUGGAAAAAGUUUCGGGCUCAUCGGUAGUGUACCGGGAGUGCCGGGAGGGGUGCCGGGGAUCAUCGAGAGGGGUGUCACGCCCCAAGGGGCCUCAUGGGCUGUGGGAAGAGAUAAACCAGCCCCUAGUGGGCUGGAAUAAGUUCCCACUAAGGCCCAUAAGGUUUGAGAAGGAAAAAAACAAGGUGGAAAGAGUGUCCAAGUGGGAAGGAGGAAUCCUACUCCAAAUAGGAUUGGAGUAGGACUCCUCCUCUCUCCCUUGCGCAAGGGAAGAGAAAGCUGCCCUCGGGUGCAGCCCUCUCUCUCCUCUCCUCCUAUAUAUACUAAGGGAUUUGAGGGGUUUUGAGACAACAGAAAACAACCACGUGCUGCCCUCUCUCUAGAUCCGUUUCUCUUCUAGUUUCAGUGGUGCUUAGGCGAAGCCUUGCUGGAAUAGCACCACCAACACCACCACCACGCCGCCGUGCUGGAGAAAUCAUCUACCUCUCCGCCCCCUCUUGCUGGAUCAAGAAGGUGGAGAUCGUCAUCGAGCUGUACGUGUGCUGAACGCGGAGGUGUCGUCUGUUCGGUACUAGAUCGGGAUGGAUCGUGGGACGGUUCGAGGGACGGAUCGUGAAGAUGUUCCACUACAUCAACCGCGUUAUAUACGCUUCCGCUUAGCGAUCUACAAGGGUAUGUAGAUUCACUCUCCCCUCUCGUAGAUGAUCAUCACCAUGGAUAGGUAUUGCGUGUGCGUAGGAAUUUUUUUGUUUCCCAUGCAACGUUCCCCGACAAUGGCAUCAUGAGCUAGGUUCAUGCGUAGAUGUAAUCUCGAAUAGAACACAAAAGUUUCUGUGGGUGUUGAUGUUCGAUUUGCUGCCCCCAUUAGUCUUUUCUCGAUUUGACGGUAUUGUUGGAUUGAAGCGGCCCGGACCAACCUUACUCGUACACUUACGAGAGACCGGUUUCAUCGACUAACAUGCAACUUGUUGCAUAAAGAUGAUUGGCGGGUGUCUGUUUCGUCAACUUUAGUUGAAUCGGAUUUGAUCGAGGCGGUCCGUGGAGAGAGGCUAAAUAGCAAUUUGCACAUAACCGUUGUGGUUUUGCGUAAGUAAGAUGUGAUCACACUAGAUACCCAUAGCAGCCAUGUAAAACAUGCAACAACAAAUUAGAGGACGUCUAACUUGUUUUUACAGGGUAUGCAUGUGAUGCGAUAUGGCCAAAGACAUGAUGUGAUAUAUUGGAUGUAUGAGAUGAUCAUGUUGUAAUAGUUAAUAUCGACUUGCAUGUCGAUGCUACGGCAACCGGCAGGAGCCAUAGGGUUGUCUUUAAACUAACGUUUGUGCUUGCAGAUGCGUUUACUAUAUUGCUAGGUUGUAGCUUUAGUAGUAAUAGCAUAGAUAGCAUGACAACCUCGAUGGCGGCACGAUGAUGGAGAUCAUGGUGGGGCGCCGGUGACGAUGAAGGUCAUGUAGGUGCUUUGGUGAUGGAGAUCAAGAAGCACAAGAUCAUUGCCAUAUCAUGUCACUUAUGAAUUGCAUGUGAUCUUAAUCCUUUUAUGCACCUUAUCUUGCUUAGAACGAUGGUAGCAUUAUAAGGUGAUCCCUCACUAAAAUUUCAAGAUAAAAUUGUGUUCUCCCCGACUGUGCACCGUCGCGACAAUUCGUCGUUUCGAGACACCACAUGAUGAUCGGGUGUGAUAGACUCAACGUUCACAUACAACGGGUGCAAAACAGUUGCACACACGGAACACUCGGGUUAAACUUGACGAGCCUAGCAUGUACAUACAUGGUCUCGGAACAUAAGAGACCGAAAGGUCGAGCAUUAAUCAUAUAGUUGAUAUGAUCAACAUGGAGAUGUUCAUCACUGAAACUAUACUCAACUCACGUGAUGAUCGGACUUGAGUUAGUGGAUUUGGAUCAUGCGCCACUCGAAUGACUAGAGGGAUAUCUAUUUGAGUGGAAGUAAUAUGAUUAAUUGAACUAAUUAUCAUGAACAUAGUCAAAAGGUCUUUGCGAAUUAUGUUGUAGCUUGCGCUAUAGCUCUACUGUUUUUAUAUGUUCCUAGAGAAAAUUUAGUUGAAAGAUGAUAGUAGCAAUUUUGCGGACUGAGUCCGUAAACUGAGGAUUCUCCCCAUUGUUGUGCAGAAGGCUUAUGUCCUUAAUGCACCGCUCGAUGUGCUGCAUCUCGAGCAUCGUCUGUGGAUGUUGCGAACAUCUGACAUACACGUUUUUUGAUGACUACAUGAUAGUUCAGUGUGUAAUGCUUAACGACUUACAAUUGAGGCGCCGAAGACGUUUUGAAACGCCAUGGAACAUAUGAGAUGUUCCAAGAGAUGAUAUUGGGAUUUCAUGCUCAUGCCCUUGUUAAGAGGUAUGAGACCUCCGACAAGAUUCUUUGUCUACAAAGUAAAGGAGAAAAGCUCAAUCGUUGAGCAUGUGCUCAGAUUGUGUGAGUGCAACAGUCGCUUGAAUCAAGUGGGAGUUAAUCUUCCAGAUGAGAUAGUGAUGGUUCUCCAAAGUCACUGCCACCAAGCUACUAGAGCUUUGUGAUGAACUAUACAUAUCAAGGAUAUAUAUGAUGAUCCGUGAGCGAUUCGCAAUGUUUUACACUACGAAAGUAGAAAUCAAGUAGGAGCAUCAAUUGUUGAUGGUUAGUAAAACCACUAGUUUCAAGAAGGGAAAGGGGCUAGAAGGGAUACUUCAUGAAACGUCAAACCAAUUGCUGCUCUAAUGAAGAAACCCAAGGUUGAACCCAAACUCAAAACUAAGUGCUUGUGUUAUGAGGGGAACGGUCACUGAGGCAGAACUACCCUAAAUACUUGGUAGAUGAGAAGGCUGGCAAAGUCGACAGAAGUAUAUUUGAUAUACAGAAUAUUGAUGUGUACUUUACUAGUACUCCUAGUAGCACGAGGGUAUUAGAUACAGGUUUAGUUGCUAAGUGUUAGUAACUCAAAAUAAAAGCUACGGAAUAAACAGAUACUAGCUAAAGACGAGGUGACGAUAUGUGUUGGAAGUGUUUCAAAGGUUGAUGUGAUCAAACAUUGCACACUCCCUCUACCAUCGGGAUUAGUGUUAAACCUAAAUAAUUGUUAUUUUGUGUUUGCGUUGAGCAUGAACAUGAUUAGAUCGUGUAUAUUGCAAUACGAUUAUUAAUUUAAAGAGAAUAAUGGUUAUUCUAUUUGCUUGGAAAAAUACCUUCAAUGGUUUAUUGAAUCUUGAUUAUAGUGAUACACAUGUUCAUAAUAUUGAUGCCAAAAGAUACAAAGUAGUAAUGAUAGUACCACUUACUUGUGGCACUGCCGCUUGAGUCAUGUUGGUACAAAAUGCAUGAAGAAGCUCCAUGCUGAUGGGUCUUUGUACUCCCUCAUUUUUGAAACAUUUGAGACAUGCAAACCAUACCUAUUGGUAUAAACGCAUGAAGAAACUCCAUGCAAAUGGAUCGUUUGGACUCACUUGAGACAUGCAAAUCAUACCACAUGGAACAAGAAAGUAACUUGUUGGAAGUAAUACAUUUUUGAUGUGUGCAGUCCAAUGAGUGCUGAGGCACGUAGUGGAUGUCGUUAUGUUCUUACUUCAUUAACGAUUUGAGUAGAUACAGGAAUAUUUACUUGAUGAAUCACAAGUCUGAAAUAUUGAAAAGUUCGAAGCUAUUUUAGAGUGAAGAUCGUCGUGACAAGAGGAUAAACCGUCUACAAUAUGAUCAUAGAGAUGAAUAUCUGAGUUGCAAGUUUUGGUACACAGUUAAGACAAUGUGGAAAUUGUUUCGCAAUUCAUGCCACCUAGAACACCAUAGUGUGAUGGUGUGUCCCAACGUCAUAGCUGCGCCCUAUUUGAUAUAGUGCAUACUAUGAUGUCUCUUAUCGAAUUGCCACUACUGUUUACGGGUUAUGCCUUAGAGACAACCGCAUUCACUUUAAAUAGGGCACCAUGUAUUUCCAUUGAGAUGACACCGUAUGAACUAUGGUUUGGAGAAACCUAAGCUGUCGUUUCUUCAAAGUUUGGGGCUGCGAUGCUUAUGUGGAAAGGUUUCAGCGUGAUAAGCUCAAACCCAAAGCGGAUAAAUGCAUCUUCAUAGGACACCCAAAACAGUUGGGUAUACCUCCUAUCUCAGAUCCGGAAGCAAAGUGUUUGUUUCUAUAAACGGGUCCUUUCUCGAGCAAAAGUUUCUCUUGAAAGAAUUGAGUGGGAGGGUGGUGGAACUUGAUGAGGUUAUUGAACCGUCACUUCAACCAGUGUGUACGAGGGCGCAGGAAGUUGUUCCUGUGGCGCCUACAUCAAUUGAAGUGGAAACUGAUGAUAGUGAUCAUUAAGCUUUGGAUCAUGUUACUACAAACCUCGUAGGUCGACAAGGUCACGUACUGCUACAGAGUGGUACGGUAAACCUAUCUUGGAGGUCAUGUUGUUGGACAAUAAUGAACCUACGAGCUAUGGAGAAGCGAUGGUGGGCCCGGAUUCCGGCAAAUAGCUGGAGGCCAUGAAAUCCGAGAGAGGAUCCAUGUAUGAAAACAAAGUGUGUACUUUGGAAGAACUACUUGAUGAUCGUAAGACUAUUAAGUACAGAUGGAUCUUUAAAAGAAGACAUACAAUGAUGGUGAAAGUCACCAAUUAAGAAAAGCUCGACUUGUCGCAAAGAUGAUUCCGACAAGUUCAAAGGGUUGACUAUAAUGAGACUUUUUCACUCAUAGCGAUGCUAAAAAUCUGUUGGAAUUAUGUUAGCAGUUGCUGCAUUAUUUAUGAAAUGUUGCACAUAGGAUCUCAAACAUUGUUUCCUUGACGGUUUCCUUGAGGAAAGGUUGUAUGUGAUACAACCAGAAGGUUUUCUCGAUCCUAAGGAUGCUAACAAGUAUGCAAAUUCUAGCGAUCCUUCUAAAGGACUGGAGUAAGCAUCUCGGAGUUGGAUAUGCGCUUUGAUGUGAUGAUCAAAGCUUUUGGGUUUAUACAAAGUUUGUGAGAAACUUGUAUUUCCAAAGAAGUGAGUGGGAGCACUAUAGAAUUUCUGAUAAGUAUAUGUGGUUGACAUAUUGUUGAUUGGAAAUAAUAUAGAAUGUCUGGAAAGCAUAAAGGGUUGUUUGAAAGGAGUUUUUCAAAGGAAAACCUGGAUGGGGCUACUUGAAAAUUAAGCAUCAAGAUCUAUAGAGAUAGAUCAACACUCUAAAUAGAACUUUCAAUGAAACGCAUACCUUGACAAGUUUUUAAAGAAGUUCAAAAUAGAUCAGCAAAGAAGGAGUUCUCCGCUGUGUUGUAAGGUGUGAAUAUGAGUAAGACUCAAAGCCCGACCAUGGCAGAAGAAAGAGAAAGGAUGAAGGUUGUCCCCUAUGCCUUAGUCGUAGGCUCUAAAGUAUGCCAUGUUGUGUUCCGCACCUGAUGUGUGCCUUGUCAUGAGUCUGUCAAGGGGUACAAAGAGUGAUCCAAGUUUGAAUCACUGAACAACAGUCAAAGCUCUCCUUAGUAACUAGUGGACUAAGGAAUUUUUCUCGAGUAUGGAGGUGAUUAAAGAGUUCGUCAUAAAGGGUUACGUCGAUGCAAGCUUUGACACUAAUCUGAAUAACUAUCAGUAGUAAACCGGAUUCGUAUAGUGGAGCAGUCAUUUGGGAUAGUUCCAAAUGGUGCAUGGUAGCAACAUCUAUAGGAUGACAUAGAGAUUUGUAAAGCACACGCGGAUCUGAAAGGUUCAGAUCCAUUGACUAAAAACCUCUCUCACAAGCAAGAUAUUAUCAAACCCCAUAAGUGUAUGGGUGUUAGGUUCAUUACAAUCACAUAGUGAUGUGAACUAGAUUAUUGACUCUAGUGCAAGUGGGAGACUCUUGGAAAUAUGCCCUAGAGGCAAUAAUAAUUUGGUUAUUAUAAUAUUUCCUUGUUCAUGAUAAUCGUUCAUUAUCCAUGCUAGAACUGUAUUGAUUGGAAACUCAAAUACAUGUGUGGAUACACAGACAACACGCUGUCCCUAGCGAGCCUCUAGUUGACUAACUCGUUGAUCAAAGAUGGUCAAGGUUUCCUGGCCAUAGACAAGUGUUGUCACUUGAUGUCCUUAGGAGAAUGAUGUGAUGGACAAGACCCAAACUAUAAACAUAGCAUAUGAUCGUGUGAGUUUAUUGCUACUGUUUUUCUGCAUGUCAAUGUAUCUGCUCCUAUGACCAUGAGAUCAUGCAACUCUCGGACACCGGAGGAAUGCCUUGUGUGUAUCAAACAUCGCAACGUAACUGGGUGACUAUAAAGGUGCUCUACAGGUAUCUCCAAAGGUGUCUCUUGGGUUGGCAAGGAUCAAGACUGGGAUUUGUCACUCCGUGUGACGGAGAGGUAUCUCGGGGCCCACUCGGUAAUACAACAUCACUACAAGCCUUGCAAGCAAUGUAACUAAGGAGUUAGUCACGGGAUCUUGUAUUACGGAACGAGUAAAGAGACUUGCUGGUAACGAUAUUGAACUAGGUAUGGAGAUACCGACGAUCGAAUCUUGGGCAAGUAACAUACCGAAGGACAAAGGGAAUAGUAUACGGGAUUAUAUGAAUCCUUGACAUAGAGGUUCGACCAAUAGAGAUCUUCGUAGAAUAUGUAGGAGCCAAUAUGGACAUCCAGGUCUCGUUGUUGGUUAUUGAGCGGAGAGUGUCUCAGGUCAUGUCUGCAUAGUUCUCGAACCCACAGGGUCUGCACACUUAAGGUUCGGUGACGUUUUGGUAUAGUUGAGUUAUAUGUGUUGGUGACCGAAGGUUUUUUGGAGUCCCGGAUGAGAUCCCAGACAUCACGAGGGUUUCCAUAAUGGUCCGUAAAUGAAGAUUGAUAUAUAGGAAGUCCUAUUUUGGUCACUGGAAAAGUUUCGGGCUCAUCGGUAGUGUACCGGGAGUGCCGGGAGGGGUGCCCGGGACCAUCGGGAGGGGUGUCACGCCCCAAGGGGCCUCAUGGGCUUUGGGAAGAGAUAAACCAGCCCCUAGUGGGCUGGAAUAAGUUCCCACUAAGGCCCAUAAGGUUUGUGAAGGAAAAAAACAAGGUGGAAAGAGUUUCCAAGUGGGAAGGUGGAGUCCUACUCCAAAUAGGAUUGGAGUAGGACUCCUCCUCUCUCCCUUGCGCAAGGGAAGAGAAGGCUGCCCUAGGGAGCAGCCUUCUCCCUCCUCUCCUCCUAUACAUACUAAGGGUUUUGAGGGAUUUAGAGACAACAUAAAACAACCACGUGCUGCCCUCUCUCUCUAGAUCUGUUUCUCCUCUAGUUUCAGCGGUUCUUAGGCAAAACCAUGCUGGAAUAGCUCCACCAACACCACCACCACGCUGCCAUGCUGGAGAACUCAUCUACCUCUCCGCCCCUCUUGUUGGAUCAAGGUGGAGAUCGUCAUCGAGCUGUACGUGUGCUGAACGCGGAGGUGCCGUCCGUUCGGUACUAGAUCGGGACGGAUCAUGGGACGGAUCGUGGGAUGGUUCGACGGACUGAUCGUGAAGAUGUUCCACUACAUCAACCGUGUUAUAUACGCUUCCGCUUAGCGAUCUACAAGGGUAUGUAGAUUCACUCUCCCCUCUCGUAGAUGAUCAUCGCCAUGAAUAGGUAUUGCGUGUGCGUAGGAAAUUUUUUGUUUCCCAUGCAACGUUCCCCAACACUAGGAGCAACCUUGUACAUCUAUAUACACCGCAUAUAUAACAAACAAGCAGGAUUGGGAGUGUUAGAGCAACUCUAAUGGGUCUACCCAACGGAUGGCGAUUUUGUCCGUUUGGGUCGGGCACUCACCCGGCGUCCACCCUGUUUUAGAUUUGGGUCGGCACUGCGCCCAACGAAUCGACCCAUAUGCGUCGGCGUGGCCGGCUGUCUGCCCUAUUUCAACAAAUAGCUCAUUUUGCAUUGCUUUUGCAUUCAAACAUAUAGUCAAAUAACAUAGUUUCAACCGACUAAAAUAGCAUAGUUUUACAAGCCGAAUAAAAUUAAAAAUGUCUCACAUAGUUUUACAAGCCGAAUAAAGAAGAUACGUCUAUUGGUUACCAAUAUGAGCACACAUAUGCUCAACCAAAUCAUUUUGCAGUUGCACGUGAGUUUCACAAUCAUGCAUAUCAUGAUGAAAUUUGGUGAACUGUUCAAACGUUGCCGCUCCUCCAUGCUCAGGCACAACAUUCUCACCCUGAAAUUAAAACCCUUGACCAUACAGACGUUCCGGAUGCUCAUCUUCUACGAUCAUAUUGUGCAUGAUCACACAAGGAGUCAUCACCUCCAUAGUUUCUACAUGCUCCAGGUACUAGCAGGAUACCGAACGAUGCCCCAUUGAGAUUGCAAAACACCAAAGGCACGCUCGACAUCCUUCCUAGCACUCUCUUGCUCUUGGGAAAAUCUUUUCCUCUUCUCUACGACAGGGUCGGCGAUUGUCUUGACAAUAGUGGUCCACUAAGGAUAGAUACUGUCACCCAGGUAGUAUCCUUUGUCGCAGUUGUGGUCGUUGAUAGUAAAGUUCACCCGUGGGCUAUUGCCUUCGACAAGCCUAUCAAACACCGGCGAGCGCUGAAGCACGUUGAUAUAAUUGUGUGAUCCGGCCAUGCCAAAGAAAGAGUGCCAGAUCCAGAGAUCUUGAGAUGCCACGACCUCUAGUAUGAUAGUGCAAGCCCUGACAUGGCCCUUAUACUGCCCUUGCCAAGCAGAAGGGCGGUUCUUCCACUCCCAGUGCAUGCAGUCUAUGCUGCCAAGCAUCCCUGGGAAGCCCCUGCUGGCAUUCAUCGCCAACAAAUGGGUUGUAUCUUGAGGAGUCGGCUUUCUCAAGUACUCAGGGCCAAACACAACAAUAAUAGCCUUGCAAAACUUAUACACGGACUCUAGGCAUGUAGACUCACUCAUACGGACGUACUCGUCAAUGAGAUCACCAGGCACUCCGUAUGCAAGCAUUCGGAUGGUGGCAACAUUUCUGAUAAGAGGAGAAACCAAUCUUUCCAAUGGCAUCCUCUUUGCACUCGAAAUAGUCAUCAUAGCCGACCACCCCCUCUCUAAUACGGUUGAAAAGAUGCCUACUCAUACGGAAAUGACAACAAUUUUUUUGAUGUUUGAACAAUUGAUUUGUUGUAUCAAAGUAGUCCUUCCAAAGAAGGAGAUGCCCGCUCUCUCGGUUGCGAUUCAACACCGGAAGGUGGCCCGAAAUGGAGCCACGGAACAAUGGCCGCUAGCUAUUGAGGUGGUGAUGGACCAACACGGCAGCCAAUAUCUCCUCCUCGUCAUCGGACGACAAAUCGUCAGAGUCACAAAGGAAAUUGUAAAAAAAACUCGUCGGCGGAGUCCAUUUUGUACCUUGGCAAACUGUCGAUCAGCUUGCAGGCAUCGACGAAGGAGACGGUCGGUGAAGGGAGUGGUCGGCGUCCGACGAGCGUGCCGAUGAGGAUCUGGCUGGGGCGGCGAGGCGGAUUCUUGGUCGCGGUCGCGAUCGGCAGCUGGUAGAGUCACCGGAAAAAAUGGGCGGCGGCGUCAGCGACGAAGGGGGCGAGGGUUGAUGUUGGAUGGGGGGAGGCCAAUGUGCCACCGACCAACGGGCCCAGGGGAAGGAGAAGGCGAGCGCCCGCGUGUCCACGCCAAUGCAAAUCUGGCUUAAAAAUGGAUCGGGAACGGGUCACCCGCACACGAAAAGCGGACGCACAUUUGUUUGGAUCGACGCUGGGCCAACUUUUGUGUCCGCGCCGACCCAAACGAUCGCCAGCGAACGAAAUGGGUCGGCCCAUUGAAGUUGGCCUCAAGAGUCAAGAGAUGGGCCCAACCAAGGUCGAAAGUGUGUUCGUCAGCGGAGCGACCGGCCUGAUUGAUCCCAGGUCCCAAGCGAUGCAUACACAUGGAUGAUCCUCUACUCUUCUUUUCCUUUUGUUUUAGGUAAACACUUCUUACCAGAUGUAUGAUGCUAAGCAUUUGCGAGACCCCUGGAGCACUGUCGAUUCGUUUUUUUGGUCUCACGGGUGAGAGACCCUCAAAAACCUUCCGGAGGAUAAAAAAAUAACCAGAUUUUCUGGCCUGCAUCCCCUAAUCACUCCCUACCCAAAUUAUUACCCGAAACAAAUGACUCAAGUCCCCAUAUCUCCGCCCCGUCCUGCUCAUAGCUGAGCUCGCCAUUCCCCUCGUUGCCCCGAUUAUUUGAGUUUCUGAUCUGUCCUCUAUGACAUCUGCUCCACCUCGCCGAUGCACCGUCCGUCAUACGAGUGCGGGGACUAGCCGCGACCUAAACAACAACGAGAUCGUAAUCUCCCACGCUAGCAUGUUGAUCUCCACUGGAUCGGCUCCAGCUCCACCUGCAGUCGUGUCCCCGCGUCCACCUUGCCGUAGUGCCGCGGUUCAGAAACCAGACCGACAUGAGUGGAGAGUACCGCAGUUUCCCCCAUCCCAUCCUUAUAUGCCUAGGUUUUAGAUCAACUCAUCUUGCUUUUUAAUUCCUACUUUACGUGUUGAUACCAAGCAUAAUAUGUAAAUUUGCUAAGAUUUGUGUAUGUCCAUAUCUUAGUUUAUUCCCUGUGUUGUGCACUCACAUAUGGGUGGCAAGCAUUGGUAGUUCUCAAUUUCAAUAAUUUGUGCUUACACAAUUUACAAGCCUGCUUGUUCAGUAUGCAUAUGACUUAUCCAUGCUUCGUGCUUCUUCACUCUAUAGAGUUUGCGACAUUGUAGCCAUGCUUCUAAUUUUAUAUACUAUUGUGUUAUCUUGAGAUUGCAUGAAAUUGACGCUUCUUCCAUAUACCACCGGUGCAUGGUAGCUACCUUCACUCGAUACGACAUCAACGGGCAGCGGGGACAUUGAAUGUGAUAAGAUGCGGCACAAUCAUCUUGCCGCCAUGUUGGCCUCUUUUCCGGCGACGUUGCAUCCAUGGUACUCCUAAUCGAUGUUCAAGUCGGCAUCAUCUCUCAUACUUCCUGCCAUCGAUGCUUCCGGUUCCUCGACGUCUCUGGCUCUAAAUAGUGGGAAUGAUGUGCUUCAUUGUCAUAGAGGCAAUGGUUCAGAUUCUAUGUACUGUCAUACUACAUAUGUAUGUGCUUCCUUCAGUUUAUGUGCUUCGAUAUCAUAUGUAGCAUGUUUUGAAGCAUUUAUGUGUUAACUUGCUUCGUUAUUUAUACAAACAUGGUAAAUUGGUAAUAUUUUGUUCAAGCUUCAGUAACUCUCAAACUAUGUUUCUAAUGGUUCACUGCCACAAAAAAUGCAUCCGUGUUACAUUUGAAUGUAACACGAUACGUUUCUUAAAAAAUAUUUCCUGCUUCAACCAAAUAAAAUUGUACUUCAAAAUACAACCACGCGUGCUUCAUUUCUUACACCAACAUUGCAAUGGUAUAAGGAACUUGGUACUACAUUUCUCAUGCUUCAACCAAAUAAAAUAGUGCUUUGAAAUGCAAUGACCUGUGCUUCAUUUCUUACUCUAACAUAGCGAUGGUGUAAGGAACUUGGAACUACAUUUCAUGCUUCAACCAAAUAAAAUUGAGUUUCAAAAUACAAUGAAGCGUGCUUCAUUUCUUACACUAAUAGUGUGAUGGUAUAAGGAACUUGGAACUAUAUUUUAUGCUUCAACCAAAUAAAAUUGUGCUUCGAAAUACAAUGGUGCGUGCUUCAUUUCUUAGGCUAACAUUGUGAUGGUAUAAGGAACUUGGAACUACAUUUCAUGCUUCAACCAAAUAAAAUUGUGCUUCGAAAUACAACCACGUGUGCUUCAUAGCAGAUGUCGUGGGUAUAAGCCUGACAGUAGAUGUGUAGGGUACGAAUGAGAUGGGCAGAGUCCUAGCUACCGCGAGGUUGUAUGAGUUCAGGCCCCUCUGCGGUGGAGGUAACAGCCCUACGUCUCAGUGCUCUCGGAGUUUGUUACCAAGUGUAAUAUGGAAUACAAUGAUUUGCUAACCCCUUUACCAGUGGGGGAGGGCGGCUUAUAUAGAGUGCGCUGCCCUCCACAACGGUUCUGAUUCAGGGGCAGAGUAGUGGCGAUUGAAUGCAUACGUUACAGGUAACGUACGCUCUAAAUGCUAAUAAAUGCACCCGGAAACGUACGACUGUUUCCCUCCAGGGAGGUUACGAUGUACCGAGUGUAUCCAGUCGGUUAGCUUGGUAACCUCCGAAUGCUAGUAUCCGACUGGAUGAUACAGGACCUGUUGUCGACUGGAUGAUGGGGAUUCCUUAAUCCAGUCGGGGUAGACUUAGGGUCUUGUCCUUUGUGUGGGGUAGUCCUUGGGUAGGACCUGUAUGGCAGGCCUAUGACCUUACCCUAGGACUAUGACCCCAUCAUUAGUCCCCGAAUGGAUUGGGGUUGAUACGACGAAGCGGUGCUUGAAGUUCGGAUCCGACUGGAUUAGAUUCGGCUUGGGCGUUGCUUGCCCCUAUCCAUUUUACCUUUUCUGACCAACGAUCCGAGUGGAAGUGCUUGCGAAACCGACUAUCGGGAGCCGAGUGUUUCCGCGGCAUCUUUUGACGUGACCGGUCAACUGACAGCGGCGGAUUUUCCGGGAUCUCAAAUUUCGGGUUCCGCGCGCUCAGCAGGGACGACGUCAGCGCACUCGAGUAGCGCCUGACGCCUCGAUUCUCGUGCCGUCAAGUCCUCCACUGAUAUCGCCGCGGCCGGUCGGGCGGAUAAGGUUUCGGGGCCCCCCGCCAGUGACCCAGUCGGAACCCUAUUUAAAUAUGGGCGGCGAGGCUUCUUCGUUACGCUCGCCGACCCUUUCGCUCUUGCCUGCUCCGUCUUCCUCGCCACCUCCAGCGCUCCAACACUCCCUCCUUCCCCUUCCUCUCGAGAGUUCGCCGUCGCCUCCAUGACCAAGGGUCAGACCAGCAAGAUGGAGGCGAGGAAGAAGAAGGGCAAGGCGGCGGCGCCUGCUCAGCGGCAGCAGUGACCACUGCCGGUGGGGUGGAUCCAAGGAGACUUCCUUCCCUCUACGGUGACGGAGGGAGAUCUGCUGGAGCUGGUGGAGUGCGGGAUGCUCGUGCAUAAGUCCUGGAGACUGUCGACGGAUGACGAGGUCGAGCCAGCGCCUCGGGAGGGGGAGCGCGUCCUGCUCCUCAGCCAUGUUCACAGAGGUUUUUCUUUGCCUCCGCAUCCCUUCUUUAAAGGCAUCAUGAAUCACUUCGGGGCUCAACUUCAUCACUUCCCUCCGAAUGCCAUCGCCCAUCUUUCUGCCUUUAUCGUUCUGUGCGAGUGCUUCAUUGGUUGCCCCCCCAUUGGGGUUUGUUCAAACACAUCUUCUCCGCCCGAUCCCAAACUAUCAAACGUCUUAGUCAGUCGGACGAUAAGACGCACCUCCUCCAGCUCUGCGGAGGUUUAGGAUUCCAAAAGAAGAGCUGGAGCAGCUAUCCUGCUCUCCAGUUGAGUGAGUCGGUUAGGAACUGGCAGUCGACGUGGUUCUACUGCCAGGACAUCACCUGUCCGAAUGCGUCGACUGGGUUGCCUCCGUUUAGUCUAGAUCGGCCCGUCCCGCCUAAGCAGCUCGCGCUCUCGAAGGCCGAGAAGAACGACAUCCAGCCUUUGGUUGAGGCACUCGUGGAUGUCGUCAGGAGGGGGGUCACUAGUAUAGACCUGCUGGAAGUCUUCCUUGGUCGGCGGAUCCAGCCGCUGCAGGCUCGCGACCAUGCUAUGUGGCACUACACAGGGCCCGAGGAUUCCACUCGGACCAACGUGGUGGGCGUACCCGAGGAUAGGGUGACCUCGUGGGUGCUCCAAAUCACGGGCCCCCUGUGAGAACCCCAAAGGAGCUCGCCGAGUGAAGCCUUACAACGCGAACCACCCUCCACCGAAUCAGGUGAGUGGCAUUAGCCGAGUGCAUUGAACUGUCUUAAUUCCAGUCGUUUACUUAUAUCUCCGUGUGAUGCCUAAUGUUUCCGACUGAACUUCAUGCAGGCGUGGACCAACUGGUUCUCCCCCGUCUCGAACGGGAGUCCGGAGGANNNNNNNNNNNNNNNNNNNNNNNNNNNNNNNNNNNNNNNNNNNNNNNNNNNNNNNNNNNNNNNNNNNNNNNNNNNNNNNNNNNNNNNNNNNNNNNNNNNNNNNNNNNNNNNNNNNNNNNNNNNNNNNNNNNNNNNNNNNNNNNNNNNCCCCGCCUGCCGCUCCGGCGGUCCCGAGUGUUCGAGGCACAAAGAGGGCCAGGGACGCCGCCGCUGAGCCCGUAGGCCAGUCUUCCAGGGCGCCCAAGCCGAGUGGGCCCAAACCUCGGAAGGCUCUGCCGCGAAUGAGGGUUGCUAUCCCUGUCACCUCCACGUAAGUGAAUCUAACUUUUGGCUCUUUCUGUUAUCCGAGUGAACUCCUGCUUUAUAAGUCAAAUGGAUUUCACUCGACAGGGUCGCCACCUCUGCAACCUCUCCGGCCCGCCAAGGGGACGACUCCAUGGACACGGACAACGUCGUUUCGUCCCAGCCAGGUGUGUUGCAGGAGAGUCGGGUGUUUUAUCCCCGCGGACUGCGCCAUUCUUUCUUUUUCUGAGACGUCAUGUCAUUCGGCUUGUCAGGGGCGAUUCGCCUGGACGAGGACGACCAGGGGAGAGUCGACCCUGCCGUGGAGCCUGUCCCUCAGGCUGCUCCUCCUGCUGCCACCCCUGCCGCCGACGCUCCACCGACUGAAGCGCCUCCACCGACUGAACCGGUGCCGGUGGGGGAGGAACCGACUGGGGCGGAUCUUGGGAUGCCCCAAGAACCUCCGACGGUUCCCGGUUCGUCAGGUGCUGAAUUCUGCAUCCGGUGCCUUCCGGAGGAGCAGGUGGGAGCGGCCAAGGGGGCCAUGGUGCAGGCGGAGCUCAUGGCUGGAGAAGCCAAGAGGGCUUAUGACUUCGUUGCGGCCUUGUACCAGCGGAGCUUGGAGCUGCGCGAUGAUAUCCGAGUAAGUAGUCUAGUAAGUACUUACUUUUCUCCUGUAACCCACUGGGUGUUGUUAUUUUUUUUGCAAUGGGUUCACUCGGAGUGAACCCAGUGGGUGUAGUCUCCGAGACUUCUGUCGAGUGCUUGCACCGACAGUUGUCUUUAUACAUUUUGCCUUUAGUUUGGUUGUGUCCGUAGACAGGAUUUCUGAGUGCGAGUACUUGUUGCAGUCGGAGCGCUCUUGCGGUAAGAGUCUCCGAGAGUAAGUUGCACGCAGGUCGGGUAGUAUUGGCCUCUGAGGCGUAGGUGAAAACAUGCAUCUCAAUAGGGCAGGCCUGCUUGAGGUGCAUGUCAGUGGGGUCACUCUUAGUGAACCCACUGGGUGUAGUCCCCGAGACCGCUGUCGACUGCUUGCAUCGGCAGGGGUCUGAAGAACUUAGACCGUGAACUGAUAAACUUACUGAUUACCCUUUGUUUCUUGGUGGCAGAAAACUUGUGAAAACGGAAAGGCCUAUGAGGCCCUGAGGGCGGAGAGGAACCAGGUCGCUGGUGAACUUGAUGCUGCUAUGCUCGCCAUGGCCGGCAUGAAGGAUGCUCUGGAGGGACGAGAGAAGUCCCUAGAGGAGGCUCGGGAGGCGAACAAGGUGUUGAUAGAGGAGGUGGAGAGACUGAAGAAACAGAGGACUGAACUGCACAAUCAGAUGGCCGUUCGGAACAGACGAUGUAUAGCUCAGGAGAAGUAUGUCAACGACUGGGCUGUGCAGAUGAUGACUCGUCUGGCUGGUAAGUCUUAUGUUUUGCCGAAUGCUUGUACCGUGUGCUGUACACUCGGUUUUUAUUGUCUGCUUGCCCGUUUGUUGCAGACUUUUGCGGUGACGCUGAAGCUGAAGCAGCGGCUGUGGAGCGGUCCAUUAAGGACAAUGUGCCACUCGGCGAGGACGCCAACCGGGAUCUGGUCCGGGCGCAUAUCCGCGUAGGCAAAGUGAGUCCGUUCGUCGGCCGACUAAGAGAAGCCGUCGGCCGAAUUGACAAGGAACUUUGGCCAGAAGACGAGUCUCGACAGGAGAUGGAGACCCUGAUGGCGCGACUGGAGGAGAUUCCGAGCCGAGUGCAAUCGUGGAAGAAAUCAGCAGCGCGUUGCGGUGCUGAUGUUGCGCUGUCCUUGGUCCGAGUCCAUUGCAAGGAGGUGCGGGAAGAUAAGCUGAAGACAUUGAAGGUCGCCAACACGAAGAAGCUUCGAUUCGAAGACUUCAUGGAGACGUUCCUUGAGACUGCUACCCGCAUCGCUGAUGGAAUCGACUUGGACACUUUUGUGGAGCCCUCCAGUCCUGGCGCCGGCCCAGCUGACACGUAAUAAAACUUUAUUCUCGGUAUACCGAGUGUUUACCUGUAAGAUACUCUGGCCACUUCUGUUGGCUGUCAUACUUUUGAAUCGGUGCGGGUAAGCUUGAUCCGCACCGAGUCAGCUAUCGUUUCUAGGCUUUUGGAAUCGGAAUGAAAACAUUUAGUCUUUUGUUUGAAUACUGUUUUGAGUGCAACGCUUAGUGCGUACUCGGAGAAGAUUAAUACUUAGGUGAUUCUUGAUCACAGCUAAGUCCUCGAGUGUGACGCGUAGUGCACACUCGGAGGAUGUUAGUACUUAGGUGAUUCUUGAUCACAGCUAAGUCUCUGAGUGCAACGCGUGGUGCGCACUCGAAGGAAGAUAUUACUUAGAUGAUUCUUGAUCACAUUUUAGUCUCCGAGUGUGACGCGUAGUGCACACUCGGAGGGUGUUAGUACUUAGGUGAUUCUUGAUCACAGCUAAGUUCCCGAGUGUGACGCGUAGUGCGCACUCGGUGAAAUUUUUUGCUUAGGUGAUUCUUGAUCACGUCUAAGUCUCUGAGUGCGACGUGUAGUGCACACUCGAAGGAAGUUAUUACUUAGGCGAUUCAGGAUCGCAGCUAAGUCUCCGAGUGCGACGUGUAGUGCACACUCGGAGGAGGUGAUUGCUUAGGUGAUUCUUGAUCACAGCUAAGUCCCCGAGUGCGGCAUGUAGUGCACACUCGGAGGAAGUUAUUACUUAGGUGAUUCAGGAUCGCAGCUAAGUCUCCGAGUGCGACGUGUAGUGCACACUCGGAGGAGGUGAGUACUUAGGCGAUUCUUGAUCACAGCUAAGUCCCCGAGUGCGGCGUGUAUUGCACACUCGGAGGGGGUUAGUACUUAGGCGACCCGGGAUCGCAGCUAAGUUUUUUUUUUGUGACCGGAGUCUGCGACCGUGGGAGAACUCUGAAUCUGCACAAAACUGAAUCUGCUGUAUAUAUUAUUUCGUCAAAACUUGUUCGUUACAGUGCUUCAGUCGACGAUCACGUAUAAAAACGCUUGAGGAGAUCUCCGUUUCAUGCGCGCGGCUCGUCUGUCUCCCUCUAGAUGUUGUAGAGUCUGUAUGCUCCGUUGUUCAGCACCUUGGAGAUGAUGAAAGGCCCUUCCCAAGCCGGAGCCAACUUGUGUGGUCUUUGUUGAUCCACUCGGAGCACUAAAUCGCCAGCUUGGAAUGUGCGACUCCUGACGUGACGCGCAUGAAAGCGUCGCAGGUCUUGCUGGUAAAUUGUUGAGCGAGUAAGUGCCAUCUCGCGCUCUUCCUCUAGAAGAUCGACUCCAUCUUGCCUUGCUUGCUCUGCUUCAGCUUCGGAGAAGAGUUCGACUCGUGGGGCAUUGUGAAGCAGGUCACUCGGAAGGACCGCUUCUGCCCCAUAAACGAGGAAGAACGGUGAUCGCCCCGUUGAUCUGUUCGGAGUGGUGCGGAGGCCCCAAAGCACUGAAGGUAACUCGGUGACCCAUGCACCAGCAGCAUGCCCUACCUCUCGCAAGAGUCGGGGCUUCAAACCUUGAAGGAUAAGUCCAUUCGCACGCUCAGCUUGCCCGUUGGAUUGCGGAUGUGCUACGGAAGCAAAAUCCACUCGGAUACCCUGACUCGCACAGAAGCCUUUAAAUCUGUCCGAGUCGAAGUUUGUCCCAUUGUCCGUGAUUAUGCUGCGAGGUACCCCGAAUCUGGAAAUGAUGUCCCUGACAAACUUGACAACUGUUGAGGCGUCGAGCUUCUUGAUGGGCUUAGCUUCUAUCCAUUUUGUAAACUUGUCGACUGCCACCAACAGAUGUGUGUAGCCUCCUUGGCCUGUCUUGAAUGGUCCGACUAUGUCUAAUCCCCAAACUGCAAAUGGCCACACAAGUGGGAUUGUCUUUAAUGCAGAUGUUGGCUUGUGGGACUUGUUGGAGUAGAACUAACAGCCUUCACAUCGUUCGACCAUAUAUUUAGCCAUCUCGUUGGCCUGCAGCCAAAAGAAACCGGCUCUGAAUGCCUUGGCGAUGAUUGCUCUUGAAGAAGCGUGAUGACCGCAGGUUCCCGAGUGAAUAUCCUCUAAGAUCAACUGUCCUUCCUCCGGGGAAAUGCAGCGUUGAAGAACGCUUGAAACACUCUCCUUGUACAAUUGACCGUCAAUGACAGUGAAUGCUUUCGACCUGCGAACUAUUUGCCUGGCUUGGACUUCAUCUUCUGGAAGUUCUUGCCUUAGGAUAUAUGCAAUGAUCGGCACAGUCCAAUCGGGAAUGACAACCAGAAUCUCCGUGACCAGAUCAACCACAGCAGGUACAUCGACUUCAGUCGGAUCUGUUGCGCUCUUGGGUUGUACCGGUUCUUCUGUGAAGGGAUCUUCUUUGACUGAGGGAAGAUGGAGGUGCUCGAGGUAGACAUCACUCGGGACUGGUCUCCGAGUGGAUCCAAGUUUCGCCAACUCGUCAGCUGCUUGGUUCUUCAGCCUCGGAACAUGAUGGAGCUCUAGACCUUCAAACUUCUUCUCCAGCUUCCUCACUGCAUUGCAGUAUGUUGUCAUGGUGGGGUUCCUUACGUCCCACUCUUUCAUCACUUGGUUGACCACCAAAUCCGAAUCGCCAUAGACCAUCAGGCGACGGACGCCGAGUGAGAUGGCCAUGCGCAAUCCGUAGAGGAGAGCUUCAUACUCCGCCUCGUUGUUGGAGGAAUCAAAGUGUAUCUGAAGCACGUACUUGAGCUUGUCGCCUUUUGGUGAUAUGAUCACAACGCCAGCGCCGGAGCCAUUCAACAUCUUAGACCCAUCGAAGAACAUUGUCCAAUGAGCCGAGUAGAUGUGGGUCAGUUGCUGUUGUUCUACCCAUUCUGCUAUAAAGUCAGCGAGGGCUUGAGACUUAAUAGCUUUCUUGGCCUCGAACUUGAUGUCACAGUAUAGCAUCUCCAUUGCCCACUUCGCCACUCGGCCUGAUGCGUCUCGAUUGUGGAGAAUUUCUGACAACGGAGCAUCAGAAACAACAGAUACCGAGUGGUCUUGGAAAUAAUGAGCCACCUUCUUCGCAGUCAUAUAGAUCCCAUAGAUAAGUUUUUGAUAAUGGGGAUACCUCUGCUUGGAAGGGGUCAGGACUUCGGAGACGUAGUACACUGGCCGCUGAACUUUGUAUGCUUUGCCUUCUUCUUCUCGCUCGACUGUAAGAACAGUACUGACGACUUGAUUUGUAGCCGCGAUAUAUAGAAGAAGGGGCUCUUUACUGAGCGGAGCAGUAAGAACCGGCUGGGUGGAAAGUAGGACUUUGAGGUCGUCGAAUGCGACUUGAGCUUCGUCUGUCCACUCGAAGGUAUCUGACUUCUUCAUGAGUCGGUUCAGAGGAAGUGCUUUUUCGCCGAGUCGACUGAUGAACCUGCUCAAAGCCGCUAGGCAACCUGUGAGCCGUUGAACAUCGUGUAUUCUAACCGGCCUCUCCAUUCGGACGAUGGUCCCGAUCUUUUCGGGGUUAACGUCGAUCCCUCGUUAGGAAACGAAGAAACCGAGUAACUUUCCGCUGGGAACACCGAAUGAACAUUUGGCUGGGUUGAGCUUGAUAUCGUACCUACGAAGGUUGGCGAAUGUUUCCGCCAAGUCAGUCAGCAGGUCGGAACCUUUGCAUGACUAGACUACGAUAUCAUCCAUGUAUGCCUCCACAUUGCGACCGAUCUGGUCGAGGAGACAUUUUUGGAUCAUGCGCAUAAAGGUAGCUCCUGCAUUCUUCAGACCGAAAGGCAUAGUGAUGUAGCAGAAGCACCCAAACGGGGUGAUGAAGGCUGUUUUCAACUCAUCGGGACCAUACAGACGGAUCUGAUGAUAGCCCGAAUAGGCAUCAAGAAAUGACAAACGCUCGCAUCCCGCAGUCGAAUCGACAAUUUGAUCUAUGCGGGGGAGCGGAAAAUGGUCUUUCGAGCAGACCUUAUUGAGAUGCUUGAAGUCAAUGCACAUUUGGAGUGACUUGUCCUUCUUGGGCACCAUGACGACAUUGGCGAGCCACCCGGAGUGGUGAACCUCGCGAAUGAAGUUGGCAGCCAACAGCUUGGCCACCUCUUCUCCGAUUGCCUUCCUCUUGUGCGUGGCGGACCGGCGCAGGCGCUCUCGAACAGGCCGAGCGGCGGGAUCCACAUGCACUCGGUGCUCAGCCAACUCCCUGGGUACACCCGGCAUGUCAGAUGGUUUCCAUGCGAAGAUGUCCCAGUUCUCACGGAGGAAUUGGGUGAGCUCGGCUUCCUAUUUAGGAUCGAGGGUGGUGGAGAUGUUCGUCGGGGCGGCAGAGUCGUCUGUCGGGUGGAUGCCGACCUUCUUCGUCUCUCCCGCCGACUGGAACGCGGACUCAGAAACUGGUUUCUUUGAGCGCAUCAGGUCGGCAGGGUCGACUGUCUUCUUGUAUUCAUCGAGCUCGAGUACCGCCAUCUGCUGGUCAGCGAUUCUUGAUCCCUCCUGCAGACACUCCUCGGCUCGCUGGCGGUUGCCCGUGAUGGUGAUAACUCCUUUUGGGCCGGGCAUCUUCAGCUUCAAGUACACAUAGCAUGGACGUGCCAUGAAACUCACGUAUGCCGGGCGGCCCAGAAUUGCGUGGUAAGCGCUCUGGAAAUCCACCACCUCAAAUGUGAGCCUCUCCUUGCGAAAGUUCUUGUCGGAGCCGAAGAUGACGUCCAACGCGAUCUGGCCGAGUGACUUGGCCUUCCGUCCAAGGACGACUCCGUGGAACUGCAUACUGCUCUCGAUGAGUCUGGACAUUGGAAUGCCCAUUCCCUUGAGAGUGUCAGCGUACAUGCUGUUCAGUCCGCUACCACCGUCCAUGAGGACUUUGCGUAGUCGGACUCCUUCCACCACCGGGUCGACGACCAGAGCCUGUCUUCCUGGGGUGGGGACAUGUGUUGGAUGAUCCGACUGAUCAAAAGUGAUCGCAGUCUGAGACCAUUUAAGGAACUUGGGAGCAGUCGGAACGGCCAUGUUGACCUCUCUGUUCACCAACUUCAGUCGACUCUUGCUUUCGACGUCAGCAAAAAUCAUGAGGGUUGCAUGGACUUGGGGGAACGGAUCCUCCUUGUCCUCCUCAUCUUGUUCAGGAUUCUUCUCACUCGGUUGCCCUCCGCUGAAUCCCUUGAUCAGGAGACGACACUGUCGAGUGGUGUGCUUCGCGUAUAUGGGGUUGCCUUCUUCGUCCAUCUUCGUGUUGACCGGACAAGGCUGGUCCAGGAUGGGAUUGUUGAACGGCUUCUUCUUGGGGGCAGACUGCGCUUUCCCUUUACCCUUGAACUUGGCGCUGGUCACAGCCACAGCUUCUGCCUGCGGUGUGGGCGGAACUUUCUGUUUUUGCUUCCGAGUGUUACCUCCGUCGGCAUCGCCGACUGUCUUGUGUUUGCCACUCCGGAUGCGGUCCUCUUCCUCACCAUUUGCAUAGCGAGCCGCUAUCUCCAUCAUCUUGCUCAUGGAGAUGUCGCCUGUCCGGCCGAACUUUAGGUACAACUCCCUGUACCGUACGCUUGCCUUGAAUGCGCAGACCGCUUGAUGCUUGGUGACGUUCUCCACCGUGUGGUAGAGAGUUGUCCAUCGCUGGAUGAAGUCGCGCAAGGGCUCAUUCGGCUUCUGGACACAGUGUUGAAGCUCCACAAGGCCUGCAGGGCGUUUGCACGUCCCUUCGAAGGUCCUGACGAACACUCGGGCCAGAUCUGCCCAACUGUAAAUGCUUGACGGGGGCAACUGGUUCAGCCAAGCUCGCACUGAGCCGUCGAGCAUCAGAGGGAGGUGCUUCAUAGCGACAUGGUCGUCCCCUCCUCCGAUCUGGACUGCCACUCGGUAGUCGUCUAGCCAUGUUUCAGGCUUGGAUUCCCCCGUAAAUUUACCGAUUCCAGCUGCCAAUCGGAAGUUGGGCGGGAUGUCAGCCGAGCGGAUGGCUCGACUAAAACACUCGGGGUCGGACACGACGGUCCUGCUGCCACUUGGACGAUCCAGAUCGUGACCAUCGCGGUGGGCUCGACCCCUGUCGACUCUUCGCUGGGCGAUUCGCCCUCUUGCGUCGGGUCUUGGGUCGUAAGUGUCGCCGACUGAACGACGAUCAUCAUGAUGUCGGGACCCAUAGGGCCCACCCCGCGGAGGGGUGCGCGAGCGGCGGCGAUCUUCACNNNNNNNNNNNNNNNNNNNNNNNNNNNNNNNNNNNNNNNNNNNNNNNNNNNNNNNNNNNNNNNNNNNNNNNNNNNNNNNNNNNNNNNNNNNNNNNNNNNNCUUUGUACUCCCUCAUUUUUGAAACAUUUGAGACAUGCAAACCAUACCUAUUGGUAUAAACGCAUGAAGAAACUCCAUGCAAAUGGAUCGUUUGGACUCACUUGAGACAUGCAAAUCAUACCACAUGGAACAAGAAAGUAACUUGUUGGAAGUAAUACAUUUUUGAUGUGUGCAGUCCAAUGAGUGCUGAGGCACGUAGUGGAUGUCGUUAUGUUCUUACUUCAUUAACGAUUUGAGUAGAUACAGGAAUAUUUACUUGAUGAAUCACAAGUCUGAAAUAUUGAAAAGUUCGAAGCUAUUUUAGAGUGAAGAUCGUCGUGACAAGAGGAUAAACCGUCUACAAUAUGAUCAUAGAGAUGAAUAUCUGAGUUGCAAGUUUUGGUACACAGUUAAGACAAUGUGGAAAUUGUUUCGCAAUUCAUGCCACCUAGAACACCAUAGUGUGAUGGUGUGUCCCAACGUCAUAGCUGCGCCCUAUUUGAUAUAGUGCAUACUAUGAUGUCUCUUAUCGAAUUGCCACUACUGUUUACGGGUUAUGCCUUAGAGACAACCGCAUUCACUUUAAAUAGGGCACCAUGUAUUUCCAUUGAGAUGACACCGUAUGAACUAUGGUUUGGAGAAACCUAAGCUGUCGUUUCUUCAAAGUUUGGGGCUGCGAUGCUUAUGUGGAAAGGUUUCAGCGUGAUAAGCUCAAACCCAAAGCGGAUAAAUGCAUCUUCAUAGGACACCCAAAACAGUUGGGUAUACCUCCUAUCUCAGAUCCGGAAGCAAAGUGUUUGUUUCUAUAAACGGGUCCUUUCUCGAGCAAAAGUUUCUCUUGAAAGAAUUGAGUGGGAGGGUGGUGGAACUUGAUGAGGUUAUUGAACCGUCACUUCAACCAGUGUGUACGAGGGCGCAGGAAGUUGUUCCUGUGGCGCCUACAUCAAUUGAAGUGGAAACUGAUGAUAGUGAUCAUUAAGCUUUGGAUCAUGUUACUACAAACCUCGUAGGUCGACAAGGUCACGUACUGCUACAGAGUGGUACGGUAAACCUAUCUUGGAGGUCAUGUUGUUGGACAAUAAUGAACCUACGAGCUAUGGAGAAGCGAUGGUGGGCCCGGAUUCCGGCAAAUAGCUGGAGGCCAUGAAAUCCGAGAGAGGAUCCAUGUAUGAAAACAAAGUGUGUACUUUGGAAGAACUACUUGAUGAUCGUAAGACUAUUAAGUACAGAUGGAUCUUUAAAAGAAGACAUACAAUGAUGGUGAAAGUCACCAAUUAAGAAAAGCUCGACUUGUCGCAAAGAUGAUUCCGACAAGUUCAAAGGGUUGACUAUAAUGAGACUUUUUCACUCAUAGCGAUGCUAAAAAUCUGUUGGAAUUAUGUUAGCAGUUGCUGCAUUAUUUAUGAAAUGUUGCACAUAGGAUCUCAAACAUUGUUUCCUUGACGGUUUCCUUGAGGAAAGGUUGUAUGUGAUACAACCAGAAGGUUUUCUCGAUCCUAAGGAUGCUAACAAGUAUGCAAAUUCUAGCGAUCCUUCUAAAGGACUGGAGUAAGCAUCUCGGAGUUGGAUAUGCGCUUUGAUGUGAUGAUCAAAGCUUUUGGGUUUAUACAAAGUUUGUGAGAAACUUGUAUUUCCAAAGAAGUGAGUGGGAGCACUAUAGAAUUUCUGAUAAGUAUAUGUGGUUGACAUAUUGUUGAUUGGAAAUAAUAUAGAAUGUCUGGAAAGCAUAAAGGGUUGUUUGAAAGGAGUUUUUCAAAGGAAAACCUGGAUGGGGCUACUUGAAAAUUAAGCAUCAAGAUCUAUAGAGAUAGAUCAACACUCUAAAUAGAACUUUCAAUGAAACGCAUACCUUGACAAGUUUUUAAAGAAGUUCAAAAUAGAUCAGCAAAGAAGGAGUUCUCCGCUGUGUUGUAAGGUGUGAAUAUGAGUAAGACUCAAAGCCCGACCAUGGCAGAAGAAAGAGAAAGGAUGAAGGUUGUCCCCUAUGCCUUAGUCGUAGGCUCUAAAGUAUGCCAUGUUGUGUUCCGCACCUGAUGUGUGCCUUGUCAUGAGUCUGUCAAGGGGUACAAAGAGUGAUCCAAGUUUGAAUCACUGAACAACAGUCAAAGCUCUCCUUAGUAACUAGUGGACUAAGGAAUUUUUCUCGAGUAUGGAGGUGAUUAAAGAGUUCGUCAUAAAGGGUUACGUCGAUGCAAGCUUUGACACUAAUCUGAAUAACUAUCAGUAGUAAACCGGAUUCGUAUAGUGGAGCAGUCAUUUGGGAUAGUUCCAAAUGGUGCAUGGUAGCAACAUCUAUAGGAUGACAUAGAGAUUUGUAAAGCACACGCGGAUCUGAAAGGUUCAGAUCCAUUGACUAAAAACCUCUCUCACAAGCAAGAUAUUAUCAAACCCCAUAAGUGUAUGGGUGUUAGGUUCAUUACAAUCACAUAGUGAUGUGAACUAGAUUAUUGACUCUAGUGCAAGUGGGAGACUCUUGGAAAUAUGCCCUAGAGGCAAUAAUAAUUUGGUUAUUAUAAUAUUUCCUUGUUCAUGAUAAUCGUUCAUUAUCCAUGCUAGAACUGUAUUGAUUGGAAACUCAAAUACAUGUGUGGAUACACAGACAACACGCUGUCCCUAGCGAGCCUCUAGUUGACUAACUCGUUGAUCAAAGAUGGUCAAGGUUUCCUGGCCAUAGACAAGUGUUGUCACUUGAUGUCCUUAGGAGAAUGAUGUGAUGGACAAGACCCAAACUAUAAACAUAGCAUAUGAUCGUGUGAGUUUAUUGCUACUGUUUUUCUGCAUGUCAAUGUAUCUGCUCCUAUGACCAUGAGAUCAUGCAACUCUCGGACACCGGAGGAAUGCCUUGUGUGUAUCAAACAUCGCAACGUAACUGGGUGACUAUAAAGGUGCUCUACAGGUAUCUACCRAGGUGUGUGUUGGGUUGGCAUGGAUCAAGACUGGGAUUUGUCACUCCAUGUGACGGAGAGGUAUCGUCCGGGGCCCACUCGGUAAUACAACAUCAACAACAAGCCUUGCAAGCAAUGUGACUAAGGAGUUAGUCACAGGAUCUUGUAUUACGGAACGAGUAAAGAGACUUGCCGGUAACGAUAUUGAACUAGGUAUGGAGAUACCGACGAUUGAAUCUCGGGCAAGUAACAUACCGAUGGACAAAGGGAAUAGUAUACGGGAUUAUACGAAUUCUUGACAUAGAGGUUCAACCGAUAGAGAUCUUCGUAGAAUAUGUAGGAGCCAAUAUGUACAUCCAGGUCCCGUUGUUGGUUAUUGAUCGAAGAAUGUCUCAGGUCAUGUCUGCAUAGUUCUCGAACCCGCAGGGUCUGCACACUUAAGGUUCGGUGAUGUUUCGGUAUAGUUGAGUUAUAUGUGUUGGUGACCGAAGGUUGUUCGGAGUCCUAGAUGAGAUCGCGGACAUCACGAGGGUUUCCGAAAUGGUCCGGGAACGAAGAUUAAUAUAUAGGAAGUCCUGUUUUGGUCACUGGAAAAAGUUUCGGGCUCAUCGGUAGUGUACCGGGAGUGCCGGGAGGGGUGCCGGGGAUCAUCGAGAGGGGUGUCACGCCCCAAGGGGCCUCAUGGGCUGUGGGAAGAGAUAAACCAGCCCCUAGUGGGCUGGAAUAAGUUCCCACUAAGGCCCAUAAGGUUUGAGAAGGAAAAAAACAAGGUGGAAAGAGUGUCCAAGUGGGAAGGAGGAAUCCUACUCCAAAUAGGAUUGGAGUAGGACUCCUCCUCUCUCCCUUGCGCAAGGGAAGAGAAAGCUGCCCUCGGGUGCAGCCCUCUCUCUCCUCUCCUCCUAUAUAUACUAAGGGWUUUGAGGGAUUUAGAGACAACAUAAAACAACCACGUGCUGCCCUCUCUCUCUAGAUCUGUUUCUCCUCUAGUUUCAGCGGUUCUUAGGCAAAACCAUGCUGGAAUAGCUCCACCAACACCACCACCACGCUGCCAUGCUGGAGAACUCAUCUACCUCUCCGCCCCUCUUGUUGGAUCAAGGUGGAGAUCGUCAUCGAGCUGUACGUGUGCUGAACGCGGAGGUGCCGUCCGUUCGGUACUAGAUCGGGACGGAUCAUGGGACGGAUCGUGGGAUGGUUCGACGGACUGAUCGUGAAGAUGUUCCACUACAUCAACCGUGUUAUAUACGCUUCCGCUUAGCGAUCUACAAGGGUAUGUAGAUUCACUCUCCCCUCUCGUAGAUGAUCAUCGCCAUGAAUAGGUAUUGCGUGUGCGUAGGAAAUUUUUUGUUUCCCAUGCAACGUUCCCCAACACUAGGAGCAACCUUGUACAUCUAUAUACACCGCAUAUAUAACAAACAAGCAGGAUUGGGAGUGUUAGAGCAACUCUAAUGGGUCUACCCAACGGAUGGCGAUUUUGUCCGUUUGGGUCGGGCACUCACCCGGCGUCCACCCUGUUUUAGAUUUGGGUCGGCACUGCGCCCAACGAAUCGACCCAUAUGCGUCGGCGUGGCCGGCUGUCUGCCCUAUUUCAACAAAUAGCUCAUUUUGCAUUGCUUUUGCAUUCAAACAUAUAGUCAAAUAACAUAGUUUCAACCGACUAAAAUAGCAUAGUUUUACAAGCCGAAUAAAAUUAAAAAUGUCUCACAUAGUUUUACAAGCCGAAUAAAGAAGAUACGUCUAUUGGUUACCAAUAUGAGCACACAUAUGCUCAACCAAAUCAUUUUGCAGUUGCACGUGAGUUUCACAAUCAUGCAUAUCAUGAUGAAAUUUGGUGAACUGUUCAAACGUUGCCGCUCCUCCAUGCUCAGGCACAACAUUCUCACCCUGAAAUUAAAACCCUUGACCAUACAGACGUUCCGGAUGCUCAUCUUCUACGAUCAUAUUGUGCAUGAUCACACAAGGAGUCAUCACCUCCAUAGUUUCUACAUGCUCCAGGUACUAGCAGGAUACCGAACGAUGCCCCAUUGAGAUUGCAAAACACCAAAGGCACGCUCGACAUCCUUCCUAGCACUCUCUUGCUCUUGGGAAAAUCUUUUCCUCUUCUCUACGACAGGGUCGGCGAUUGUCUUGACAAUAGUGGUCCACUAAGGAUAGAUACUGUCACCCAGGUAGUAUCCUUUGUCGCAGUUGUGGUCGUUGAUAGUAAAGUUCACCCGUGGGCUAUUGCCUUCGACAAGCCUAUCAAACACCGGCGAGCGCUGAAGCACGUUGAUAUAAUUGUGUGAUCCGGCCAUGCCAAAGAAAGAGUGCCAGAUCCAGAGAUCUUGAGAUGCCACGACCUCUAGUAUGAUAGUGCAAGCCCUGACAUGGCCCUUAUACUGCCCUUGCCAAGCAGAAGGGCGGUUCUUCCACUCCCAGUGCAUGCAGUCUAUGCUGCCAAGCAUCCCUGGGAAGCCCCUGCUGGCAUUCAUCGCCAACAAAUGGGUUGUAUCUUGAGGAGUCGGCUUUCUCAAGUACUCAGGGCCAAACACAACAAUAAUAGCCUUGCAAAACUUAUACACGGACUCUAGGCAUGUAGACUCACUCAUACGGACGUACUCGUCAAUGAGAUCACCAGGCACUCCGUAUGCAAGCAUUCGGAUGGUGGCAACAUUUCUGAUAAGAGGAGAAACCAAUCUUUCCAAUGGCAUCCUCUUUGCACUCGAAAUAGUCAUCAUAGCCCGACCACCCCCUCUCUAAUACGGUUGAAAAGAUGCCUACUCAUACGGAAAUGACAACAAUUUUUUUGAUGUUUGAACAAUUGAUUUGUUGUAUCAAAGUAGUCCUUCCAAAGAAGGAGAUGCCCGCUCUCUCGGUUGCGAUUCAACACCGGAAGGUGGCCCGAAAUGGAGCCACGGAACAAUGGCCGCUAGCUAUUGAGGUGGUGAUGGACCAACACGGCAGCCAAUAUCUCCUCCUCGUCAUCGGACGACAAAUCGUCAGAGUCACAAAGGAAAUUGUAAAAAAAACUCGUCGGCGGAGUCCAUUUUGUACCUUGGCAAACUGUCGAUCAGCUUGCAGGCAUCGACGAAGGAGACGGUCGGUGAAGGGAGUGGUCGGCGUCCGACGAGCGUGCCGAUGAGGAUCUGGCUGGGGCGGCGAGGCGGAUUCUUGGUCGCGGUCGCGAUCGGCAGCUGGUAGAGUCACCGGAAAAAAUGGGCGGCGGCGUCAGCGACGAAGGGGGCGAGGGUUGAUGUUGGAUGGGGGGAGGCCAAUGUGCCACCGACCAACGGGCCCAGGGGAAGGAGAAGGCGAGCGCCCGCGUGUCCACGCCAAUGCAAAUCUGGCUUAAAAAUGGAUCGGGAACGGGUCACCCGCACACGAAAAGCGGACGCACAUUUGUUUGGAUCGACGCUGGGCCAACUUUUGUGUCCGCGCCGACCCAAACGAUCGCCAGCGAACGAAAUGGGUCGGCCCAUUGAAGUUGGCCUCAAGAGUCAAGAGAUGGGCCCAACCAAGGUCGAAAGUGUGUUCGUCAGCGGAGCGACCGGCCUGAUUGAUCCCAGGUCCCAAGCGAUGCAUACACAUGGAUGAUCCUCUACUCUUCUUUUCCUUUUGUUUUAGGUAAACACUUCUUACCAGAUGUAUGAUGCUAAGCAUUUGCGAGACCCCUGGAGCACUGUCGAUUCGUUUUUUUGGUCUCACGGGUGAGAGACCCUCAAAAACCUUCCGGAGGAUAAAAAAAUAACCAGAUUUUCUGGCCUGCAUCCCCUAAUCACUCCCUACCCAAAUUAUUACCCGAAACAAAUGACUCAAGUCCCCAUAUCUCCGCCCCGUCCUGCUCAUAGCUGAGCUCGCCAUUCCCCUCGUUGCCCCGAUUAUUUGAGUUUCUGAUCUGUCCUCUAUGACAUCUGCUCCACCUCGCCGAUGCACCGUCCGUCAUACGAGUGCGGGGACUAGCCGCGACCUAAACAACAACGAGAUCGUAAUCUCCCACGCUAGCAUGUUGAUCUCCACUGGAUCGGCUCCAGCUCCACCUGCAGUCGUGUCCCCGCGUCCACCUUGCCGUAGUGCCGCGGUUCAGAAACCAGACCGACAUGAGUGGAGAGUACCGCAGUUUCCCCCAUCCCAUCCUUAUAUGCCUAGGUUUUAGAUCAACUCAUCUUGCUUUUUAAUUCCUACUUUACGUGUUGAUACCAAGCAUAAUAUGUAAAUUUGCUAAGAUUUGUGUAUGUCCAUAUCUUAGUUUAUUCCCUGUGUUGUGCACUCACAUAUGGGUGGCAAGCAUUGGUAGUUCUCAAUUUCAAUAAUUUGUGCUUACACAAUUUACAAGCCUGCUUGUUCAGUAUGCAUAUGACUUAUCCAUGCUUCGUGCUUCUUCACUCUAUAGAGUUUGCGACAUUGUAGCCAUGCUUCUAAUUUUAUAUACUAUUGUGUUAUCUUGAGAUUGCAUGAAAUUGACGCUUCUUCCAUAUACCACCGGUGCAUGGUAGCUACCUUCACUCGAUACGACAUCAACGGGCAGCGGGGACAUUGAAUGUGAUAAGAUGCGGCACAAUCAUCUUGCCGCCAUGUUGGCCUCUUUUCCGGCGACGUUGCAUCCAUGGUACUCCUAAUCGAUGUUCAAGUCGGCAUCAUCUCUCAUACUUCCUGCCAUCGAUGCUUCCGGUUCCUCGACGUCUCUGGCUCUAAAUAGUGGGAAUGAUGUGCUUCAUUGUCAUAGAGGCAAUGGUUCAGAUUCUAUGUACUGUCAUACUACAUAUGUAUGUGCUUCCUUCAGUUUAUGUGCUUCGAUAUCAUAUGUAGCAUGUUUUGAAGCAUUUAUGUGUUAACUUGCUUCGUUAUUUAUACAAACAUGGUAAAUUGGUAAUAUUUUGUUCAAGCUUCAGUAACUCUCAAACUAUGUUUCUAAUGGUUCACUGCCACAAAAAAUGCAUCCGUGUUACAUUUGAAUGUAACACGAUACGUUUCUUAAAAAAUAUUUCCUGCUUCAACCAAAUAAAAUUGUACUUCAAAAUACAACCACGCGUGCUUCAUUUCUUACACCAACAUUGCAAUGGUAUAAGGAACUUGGUACUACAUUUCUCAUGCUUCAACCAAAUAAAAUAGUGCUUUGAAAUGCAAUGACCUGUGCUUCAUUUCUUACUCUAACAUAGCGAUGGUGUAAGGAACUUGGAACUACAUUUCAUGCUUCAACCAAAUAAAAUUGAGUUUCAAAAUACAAUGAAGCGUGCUUCAUUUCUUACACUAAUAGUGUGAUGGUAUAAGGAACUUGGAACUAUAUUUUAUGCUUCAACCAAAUAAAAUUGUGCUUCGAAAUACAAUGGUGCGUGCUUCAUUUCUUAGGCUAACAUUGUGAUGGUAUAAGGAACUUGGAACUACAUUUCAUGCUUCAACCAAAUAAAAUUGUGCUUCGAAAUACAACCACGUGUGCUUCAUAGCAGAUGUCGUGGGUAUAAGCCUGACAGUAGAUGUGUAGGGUACGAAUGAGAUGGGCAGAGUCCUAGCUACCGCGAGGUUGUAUGAGUUCAGGCCCCUCUGCGGUGGAGGUAACAGCCCUACGUCUCAGUGCUCUCGGAGUUUGUUACCAAGUGUAAUAUGGAAUACAAUGAUUUGCUAACCCCUUUACCAGUGGGGGAGGGCGGCUUAUAUAGAGUGCGCUGCCCUCCACAACGGUUCUGAUUCAGGGGCAGAGUAGUGGCGAUUGAAUGCAUACGUUACAGGUAACGUACGCUCUAAAUGCUAAUAAAUGCACCCGGAAACGUACGACUGUUUCCCUCCAGGGAGGUUACGAUGUACCGAGUGUAUCCAGUCGGUUAGCUUGGUAACCUCCGAAUGCUAGUAUCCGACUGGAUGAUACAGGACCUGUUGUCGACUGGAUGAUGGGGAUUCCUUAAUCCAGUCGGGGUAGACUUAGGGUCUUGUCCUUUGUGUGGGGUAGUCCUUGGGUAGGACCUGUAUGGCAGGCCUAUGACCUUACCCUAGGACUAUGACCCCAUCAUUAGUCCCCGAAUGGAUUGGGGUUGAUACGACGAAGCGGUGCUUGAAGUUCGGAUCCGACUGGAUUAGAUUCGGCUUGGGCGUUGCUUGCCCCUAUCCAUUUUACCUUUUCUGACCAACGAUCCGAGUGGAAGUGCUUGCGAAACCGACUAUCGGGAGCCGAGUGUUUCCGCGGCAUCUUUUGACGUGACCGGUCAACUGACAGCGGCGGAUUUUCCGGGAUCUCAAAUUUCGGGUUCCGCGCGCUCAGCAGGGACGACGUCAGCGCACUCGAGUAGCGCCUGACGCCUCGAUUCUCGUGCCGUCAAGUCCUCCACUGAUAUCGCCGCGGCCGGUCGGGCGGAUAAGGUUUCGGGGCCACCCGCCAGUGACCCAGUCGGAACCCUAUUUAAAUAUGGGCGGCGAGGCUUCUUCGUUACGCUCGCCGACCCUUUCGCUCUUGCCUGCUCCGUCUUCCUCGCCACCUCCAGCGCUCCAACACUCCCUCCUUCCCCUUCCUCUCGAGAGUUCGCCGUCGCCUCCAUGACCAAGGGUCAGACCAGCAAGAUGGAGGCGAGGAAGAAGAAGGGCAAGGCGGCGGCGCCUGCUCAGCGGCAGCAGUGACCACUGCCGGUGGGGUGGAUCCAAGGAGACUUCCUUCCCUCUACGGUGACGGAGGGAGAUCUGCUGGAGCUGGUGGAGUGCGGGAUGCUCGUGCAUAAGUCCUGGAGACUGUCGACGGAUGACGAGGUCGAGCCAGCGCCUCGGGAGGGGGAGCGCGUCCUGCUCCUCAGCCAUGUUCACAGAGGUUUUUCUUUGCCUCCGCAUCCCUUCUUUAAAGGCAUCAUGAAUCACUUCGGGGCUCAACUUCAUCACUUCCCUCCGAAUGCCAUCGCCCAUCUUUCUGCCUUUAUCGUUCUGUGCGAGUGCUUCAUUGGUUGCCCCCCCAUUGGGGUUUGUUCAAACACAUCUUCUCCGCCCGAUCCCAAACUAUCAAACGUCUUAGUCAGUCGGACGAUAAGACGCACCUCCUCCAGCUCUGCGGAGGUUUAGGAUUCCAAAAGAAGAGCUGGAGCAGCUAUCCUGCUCUCCAGUUGAGUGAGUCGGUUAGGAACUGGCAGUCGACGUGGUUCUACUGCCAGGACAUCACCUGUCCGAAUGCGUCGACUGGGUUGCCUCCGUUUAGUCUAGAUCGGCCCGUCCCGCCUAAGCAGCUCGCGCUCUCGAAGGCCGAGAAGAACGACAUCCAGCCUUUGGUUGAGGCACUCGUGGAUGUCGUCAGGAGGGGGGUCACUAGUAUAGACCUGCUGGAAGUCUUCCUUGGUCGGCGGAUCCAGCCGCUGCAGGCUCGCGACCAUGCUAUGUGGCACUACACAGGGCCCGAGGAUUCCACUCGGACCAACGUGGUGGGCGUACCCGAGGAUAGGGUGACCUCGUGGGUGCUCCAAAUCACGGGCCCCCUGUGAGAACCCCAAAGGAGCUCGCCGAGUGAAGCCUUACAACGCGAACCACCCUCCACCGAAUCAGGUGAGUGGCAUUAGCCGAGUGCAUUGAACUGUCUUAAUUCCAGUCGUUUACUUAUAUCUCCGUGUGAUGCCUAAUGUUUCCGACUGAACUUCAUGCAGGCGUGGACCAACUGGUUCUCCCCCGUCUCGAACGGGAGUCCGGAGGAGGAAGAGGAGGAAGGCAGUCAGGAGGGCAGCAUGGAGAGCGCUGAAUAUGUCUCCGACAGCGGGGAGUCGGAGGAGGAGGACAGCGAGGAAGAGGAAGAGGAAGAGGAUGAAGAGCAAGACUCGCCACCUCCUUGGCGAGAGCAUCGGAGCAAGCGCCGACACGAGCCCGCCGUCCCUUCAGCUCCUCCUGCGUCGUCGAGUGCCCCGCCUGCCGCUCCGGCGGUCCCGAGUGUUCGAGGCACAAAGAGGGCCAGGGACGCCGCCGCUGAGCCCGUAGGCCAGUCUUCCAGGGCGCCCAAGCCGAGUGGGCCCAAACCUCGGAAGGCUCUGCCGCGAAUGAGGGUUGCUAUCCCUGUCACCUCCACGUAAGUGAAUCUAACUUUUGGCUCUUUCUGUUAUCCGAGUGAACUCCUGCUUUAUAAGUCAAAUGGAUUUCACUCGACAGGGUCGCCACCUCUGCAACCUCUCCGGCCCGCCAAGGGGACGACUCCAUGGACACGGACAACGUCGUUUCGUCCCAGCCAGGUGUGUUGCAGGAGAGUCGGGUGUUUUAUCCCCGCGGACUGCGCCAUUCUUUCUUUUUCUGAGACGUCAUGUCAUUCGGCUUGUCAGGGGCGAUUCGCCUGGACGAGGACGACCAGGGGAGAGUCGACCCUGCCGUGGAGCCUGUCCCUCAGGCUGCUCCUCCUGCUGCCACCCCUGCCGCCGACGCUCCACCGACUGAAGCGCCUCCACCGACUGAACCGGUGCCGGUGGGGGAGGAACCGACUGGGGCGGAUCUUGGGAUGCCCCAAGAACCUCCGACGGUUCCCGGUUCGUCAGGUGCUGAAUUCUGCAUCCGGUGCCUUCCGGAGGAGCAGGUGGGAGCGGCCAAGGGGGCCAUGGUGCAGGCGGAGCUCAUGGCUGGAGAAGCCAAGAGGGCUUAUGACUUCGUUGCGGCCUUGUACCAGCGGAGCUUGGAGCUGCGCGAUGAUAUCCGAGUAAGUAGUCUAGUAAGUACUUACUUUUCUCCUGUAACCCACUGGGUGUUGUUAUUUUUUUUGCAAUGGGUUCACUCGGAGUGAACCCAGUGGGUGUAGUCUCCGAGACUUCUGUCGAGUGCUUGCACCGACAGUUGUCUUUAUACAUUUUGCCUUUAGUUUGGUUGUGUCCGUAGACAGGAUUUCUGAGUGCGAGUACUUGUUGCAGUCGGAGCGCUCUUGCGGUAAGAGUCUCCGAGAGUAAGUUGCACGCAGGUCGGGUAGUAUUGGCCUCUGAGGCGUAGGUGAAAACAUGCAUCUCAAUAGGGCAGGCCUGCUUGAGGUGCAUGUCAGUGGGGUCACUCUUAGUGAACCCACUGGGUGUAGUCCCCGAGACCGCUGUCGACUGCUUGCAUCGGCAGGGGUCUGAAGAACUUAGACCGUGAACUGAUAAACUUACUGAUUACCCUUUGUUUCUUGGUGGCAGAAAACUUGUGAAAACGGAAAGGCCUAUGAGGCCCUGAGGGCGGAGAGGAACCAGGUCGCUGGUGAACUUGAUGCUGCUAUGCUCGCCAUGGCCGGCAUGAAGGAUGCUCUGGAGGGACGAGAGAAGUCCCUAGAGGAGGCUCGGGAGGCGAACAAGGUGUUGAUAGAGGAGGUGGAGAGACUGAAGAAACAGAGGACUGAACUGCACAAUCAGAUGGCCGUUCGGAACAGACGAUGUAUAGCUCAGGAGAAGUAUGUCAACGACUGGGCUGUGCAGAUGAUGACUCGUCUGGCUGGUAAGUCUUAUGUUUUGCCGAAUGCUUGUACCGUGUGCUGUACACUCGGUUUUUAUUGUCUGCUUGCCCGUUUGUUGCAGACUUUUGCGGUGACGCUGAAGCUGAAGCAGCGGCUGUGGAGCGGUCCAUUAAGGACAAUGUGCCACUCGGCGAGGACGCCAACCGGGAUCUGGUCCGGGCGCAUAUCCGCGUAGGCAAAGUGAGUCCGUUCGUCGGCCGACUAAGAGAAGCCGUCGGCCGAAUUGACAAGGAACUUUGGCCAGAAGACGAGUCUCGACAGGAGAUGGAGACCCUGAUGGCGCGACUGGAGGAGAUUCCGAGCCGAGUGCAAUCGUGGAAGAAAUCAGCAGCGCGUUGCGGUGCUGAUGUUGCGCUGUCCUUGGUCCGAGUCCAUUGCAAGGAGGUGCGGGAAGAUAAGCUGAAGACAUUGAAGGUCGCCAACACGAAGAAGCUUCGAUUCGAAGACUUCAUGGAGACGUUCCUUGAGACUGCUACCCGCAUCGCUGAUGGAAUCGACUUGGACACUUUUGUGGAGCCCUCCAGUCCUGGCGCCGGCCCAGCUGACACGUAAUAAAACUUUAUUCUCGGUAUACCGAGUGUUUACCUGUAAGAUACUCUGGCCACUUCUGUUGGCUGUCAUACUUUUGAAUCGGUGCGGGUAAGCUUGAUCCGCACCGAGUCAGCUAUCGUUUCUAGGCUUUUGGAAUCGGAAUGAAAACAUUUAGUCUUUUGUUUGAAUACUGUUUUGAGUGCAACGCUUAGUGCGUACUCGGAGAAGAUUAAUACUUAGGUGAUUCUUGAUCACAGCUAAGUCCCCGAGUGCGGCAUGUAGUGCACACUCGGAGGAAGUUAUUACUUAGGCGAUUCAGGAUCGCAGCUAAGUCUCCGAGUGCGACGUGUAGUGCACACUCGGAGGAGGUGAUUGCUUAGGUGAUUCUUGAUCACAGCUAAGUCCCCGAGUGCGGCAUGUAGUGCACACUCGGAGAAAGUUAUUACUUAGGUGAUUCGUGAUCACAUCUAAGUCUCCGAGUGUGACGCGGAGUGCGCACUUGGUGAAAAAUAUUGCUUAGGUGAUUCUUGAUCACGUCUAAGUCUCUGAGUGCGACGUGUAGUGCACACUCGGAGGAAGUUAUUACUUAGGCGAUUCAGGAUCGCAGCUAAGUCUCUGAGUGCGACGUGUAGUGCACACUCGGAGGAGGUGAUUUCUUAGGUGAUUCUUGAUCACAGCUAAGUCCCCGAGUGCGGCAUGUAGUGCACACUCGGAGGAAGUUAUUACUUAGGUGAUUCGUGAUCACAUCUAAGUCUUCGAGUGUGACGCGGAGUGCGCACUCGGUGAAAAAUAUUGCUUAGGUGAUUCUUGAUCACGUCUAAGUCUCCGAGUGCGACGUGUAGUGCACACUCGGAGGAAGUUAUUACUUAGGCGAUUCAGGAUCACAGCUAAGUCUCCGAAUGUGACGCGGAGUGCGCACUCGGUGAAAAAUAUUGCUUAGGUGAUUCUUGAUCACAUCUAAGUCUCCGAGUGCGACGUGUAGUGCACACUCGGAGGAAGUUAUUACUUAGGCGAUUCAGGAUCGCAGCUAAGUCUCCGAGUGCAACGUGUAGUGCACACUCGGAGGAGGUGAUUGCUUAGGUGAUUCUUGAUCACAGCUAAGUCCCCGAGUGCGGCAUGUAGUGCACACUCGGAGGAAGUUAUUACUUAGGUGAUUCAGGAUCGCAGCUAAGUCUCCGAGUGCGACGUGUAGUGCACACUCGGAGGAGGUGAGUACUUAGGCGAUUCUUGAUCACAGCUAAGUCCCCGAGUGCGGCGUGUAUUGCACACUCGGAGGGGGUUAGUACUUAGGCGACCCGGGAUCGCAGCUAAGUUUUUUUUUUGUGACCGGAGUCUGCGACCGUGGGAGAACUCUGAAUCUGCACAAAACUGAAUCUGCUGUAUAUAUUAUUUCGUCAAAACUUGUUCGUUACAGUGCUUCAGUCGACGAUCACGUAUAAAAACGCUUGAGGAGAUCUCCGUUUCAUGCGCGCGGCUCGUCUGUCUCCCUCUAGAUGUUGUAGAGUCUGUAUGCUCCGUUGUUCAGCACCUUGGAGAUGAUGAAAGGCCCUUCCCAAGCCGGAGCCAACUUGUGUGGUCUUUGUUGAUCCACUCGGAGCACUAAAUCGCCAGCUUGGAAUGUGCGACUCCUGACGUGACGCGCAUGAAAGCGUCGCAGGUCUUGCUGGUAAAUUGUUGAGCGAGUAAGUGCCAUCUCGCGCUCUUCCUCUAGAAGAUCGACUCCAUCUUGCCUUGCUUGCUCUGCUUCAGCUUCGGAGAAGAGUUCGACUCGUGGGGCAUUGUGAAGCAGGUCACUCGGAAGGACCGCUUCUGCCCCAUAAACGAGGAAGAACGGUGAUCGCCCCGUUGAUCUGUUCGGAGUGGUGCGGAGGCCCCAAAGCACUGAAGGUAACUCGGUGACCCAUGCACCAGCAGCAUGCCCUACCUCUCGCAAGAGUCGGGGCUUCAAACCUUGAAGGAUAAGUCCAUUCGCACGCUCAGCUUGCCCGUUGGAUUGCGGAUGUGCUACGGAAGCAAAAUCCACUCGGAUACCCUGACUCGCACAGAAGCCUUUAAAUCUGUCCGAGUCGAAGUUUGUCCCAUUGUCCGUGAUUAUGCUGCGAGGUACCCCGAAUCUGGAAAUGAUGUCCCUGACAAACUUGACAACUGUUGAGGCGUCGAGCUUCUUGAUGGGCUUAGCUUCUAUCCAUUUUGUAAACUUGUCGACUGCCACCAACAGAUGUGUGUAGCCUCCUUGGCCUGUCUUGAAUGGUCCGACUAUGUCUAAUCCCCAAACUGCAAAUGGCCACACAAGUGGGAUUGUCUUUAAUGCAGAUGUUGGCUUGUGGGACUUGUUGGAGUAGAACUAACAGCCUUCACAUCGUUCGACCAUAUAUUUAGCCAUCUCGUUGGCCUGCAGCCAAAAGAAACCGGCUCUGAAUGCCUUGGCGAUGAUUGCUCUUGAAGAAGCGUGAUGACCGCAGGUUCCCGAGUGAAUAUCCUCUAAGAUCAACUGUCCUUCCUCCGGGGAAAUGCAGCGUUGAAGAACGCUUGAAACACUCUCCUUGUACAAUUGACCGUCAAUGACAGUGAAUGCUUUCGACCUGCGAACUAUUUGCCUGGCUUGGACUUCAUCUUCUGGAAGUUCUUGCCUUAGGAUAUAUGCAAUGAUCGGCACAGUCCAAUCGGGAAUGACAACCAGAAUCUCCGUGACCAGAUCAACCACAGCAGGUACAUCGACUUCAGUCGGAUCUGUUGCGCUCUUGGGUUGUACCGGUUCUUCUGUGAAGGGAUCUUCUUUGACUGAGGGAAGAUGGAGGUGCUCGAGGUAGACAUCACUCGGGACUGGUCUCCGAGUGGAUCCAAGUUUCGCCAACUCGUCAGCUGCUUGGUUCUUCAGCCUCGGAACAUGAUGGAGCUCUAGACCUUCAAACUUCUUCUCCAGCUUCCUCACUGCAUUGCAGUAUGUUGUCAUGGUGGGGUUCCUUACGUCCCACUCUUUCAUCACUUGGUUGACCACCAAAUCCGAAUCGCCAUAGACCAUCAGGCGACGGACGCCGAGUGAGAUGGCCAUGCGCAAUCCGUAGAGGAGAGCUUCAUACUCCGCCUCGUUGUUGGAGGAAUCAAAGUGUAUCUGAAGCACGUACUUGAGCUUGUCGCCUUUUGGUGAUAUGAUCACAACGCCAGCGCCGGAGCCAUUCAACAUCUUAGACCCAUCGAAGAACAUUGUCCAAUGAGCCGAGUAGAUGUGGGUCAGUUGCUGUUGUUCUACCCAUUCUGCUAUAAAGUCAGCGAGGGCUUGAGACUUAAUAGCUUUCUUGGCCUCGAACUUGAUGUCACAGUAUAGCAUCUCCAUUGCCCACUUCGCCACUCGGCCUGAUGCGUCUCGAUUGUGGAGAAUUUCUGACAACGGAGCAUCAGAAACAACAGAUACCGAGUGGUCUUGGAAAUAAUGAGCCACCUUCUUCGCAGUCAUAUAGAUCCCAUAGAUAAGUUUUUGAUAAUGGGGAUACCUCUGCUUGGAAGGGGUCAGGACUUCGGAGACGUAGUACACUGGCCGCUGAACUUUGUAUGCUUUGCCUUCUUCUUCUCGCUCGACUGUAAGAACAGUACUGACGACUUGAUUUGUAGCCGCGAUAUAUAGAAGAAGGGGCUCUUUACUGAGCGGAGCAGUAAGAACCGGCUGGGUGGAAAGUAGGACUUUGAGGUCGUCGAAUGCGACUUGAGCUUCGUCUGUCCACUCGAAGGUAUCUGACUUCUUCAUGAGUCGGUUCAGAGGAAGUGCUUUUUCGCCGAGUCGACUGAUGAACCUGCUCAAAGCCGCUAGGCAACCUGUGAGCCGUUGAACAUCGUGUAUUCUAACCGGCCUCUCCAUUCGGACGAUGGUCCCGAUCUUUUCGGGGUUAACGUCGAUCCCUCGUUAGGAAACGAAGAAACCGAGUAACUUUCCGCUGGGAACACCGAAUGAACAUUUGGCUGGGUUGAGCUUGAUAUCGUACCUACGAAGGUUGGCGAAUGUUUCCGCCAAGUCAGUCAGCAGGUCGGAACCUUUGCAUGACUAGACUACGAUAUCAUCCAUGUAUGCCUCCACAUUGCGACCGAUCUGGUCGAGGAGACAUUUUUGGAUCAUGCGCAUAAAGGUAGCUCCUGCAUUCUUCAGACCGAAAGGCAUAGUGAUGUAGCAGAAGCACCCAAACGGGGUGAUGAAGGCUGUUUUCAACUCAUCGGGACCAUACAGACGGAUCUGAUGAUAGCCCGAAUAGGCAUCAAGAAAUGACAAACGCUCGCAUCCCGCAGUCGAAUCGACAAUUUGAUCUAUGCGGGGGAGCGGAAAAUGGUCUUUCGAGCAGACCUUAUUGAGAUGCUUGAAGUCAAUGCACAUUUGGAGUGACUUGUCCUUCUUGGGCACCAUGACGACAUUGGCGAGCCACCCGGAGUGGUGAACCUCGCGAAUGAAGUUGGCAGCCAACAGCUUGGCCACCUCUUCUCCGAUUGCCUUCCUCUUGUGCGUGGCGGACCGGCGCAGGCGCUCUCGAACAGGCCGAGCGGCGGGAUCCACAUGCACUCGGUGCUCAGCCAACUCCCUGGGUACACCCGGCAUGUCAGAUGGUUUCCAUGCGAAGAUGUCCCAGUUCUCACGGAGGAAUUGGGUGAGCUCGGCUUCCUAUUUAGGAUCGAGGGUGGUGGAGAUGUUCGUCGGGGCGGCAGAGUCGUCUGUCGGGUGGAUGCCGACCUUCUUCGUCUCUCCCGCCGACUGGAACGCGGACUCAGAAACUGGUUUCUUUGAGCGCAUCAGGUCGGCAGGGUCGACUGUCUUCUUGUAUUCAUCGAGCUCGAGUACCGCCAUCUGCUGGUCAGCGAUUCUUGAUCCCUCCUGCAGACACUCCUCGGCUCGCUGGCGGUUGCCCGUGAUGGUGAUAACUCCUUUUGGGCCGGGCAUCUUCAGCUUCAAGUACACAUAGCAUGGACGUGCCAUGAAACUCACGUAUGCCGGGCGGCCCAGAAUUGCGUGGUAAGCGCUCUGGAAAUCCACCACCUCAAAUGUGAGCCUCUCCUUGCGAAAGUUCUUGUCGGAGCCGAAGAUGACGUCCAACGCGAUCUGGCCGAGUGACUUGGCCUUCCGUCCAAGGACGACUCCGUGGAACUGCAUACUGCUCUCGAUGAGUCUGGACAUUGGAAUGCCCAUUCCCUUGAGAGUGUCAGCGUACAUGCUGUUCAGUCCGCUACCACCGUCCAUGAGGACUUUGCGUAGUCGGACUCCUUCCACCACCGGGUCGACGACCAGAGCCUGUCUUCCUGGGGUGGGGACAUGUGUUGGAUGAUCCGACUGAUCAAAAGUGAUCGCAGUCUGAGACCAUUUAAGGAACUUGGGAGCAGUCGGAACGGCCAUGUUGACCUCUCUGUUCACCAACUUCAGUCGACUCUUGCUUUCGACGUCAGCAAAAAUCAUGAGGGUUGCAUGGACUUGGGGGAACGGAUCCUCCUUGUCCUCCUCAUCUUGUUCAGGAUUCUUCUCACUCGGUUGCCCUCCGCUGAAUCCCUUGAUCAGGAGACGACACUGUCGAGUGGUGUGCUUCGCGUAUAUGGGGUUGCCUUCUUCGUCCAUCUUCGUGUUGACCGGACAAGGCUGGUCCAGGAUGGGAUUGUUGAACGGCUUCUUCUUGGGGGCAGACUGCGCUUUCCCUUUACCCUUGAACUUGGCGCUGGUCACAGCCACAGCUUCUGCCUGCGGUGUGGGCGGAACUUUCUGUUUUUGCUUCCGAGUGUUACCUCCGUCGGCAUCGCCGACUGUCUUGUGUUUGCCACUCCGGAUGCGGUCCUCUUCCUCACCAUUUGCAUAGCGAGCCGCUAUCUCCAUCAUCUUGCUCAUGGAGAUGUCGCCUGUCCGGCCGAACUUUAGGUACAACUCCCUGUACCGUACGCUUGCCUUGAAUGCGCAGACCGCUUGAUGCUUGGUGACGUUCUCCACCGUGUGGUAGAGAGUUGUCCAUCGCUGGAUGAAGUCGCGCAAGGGCUCAUUCGGCUUCUGGACACAGUGUUGAAGCUCCACAAGGCCUGCAGGGCGUUUGCACGUCCCUUCGAAGGUCCUGACGAACACUCGGGCCAGAUCUGCCCAACUGUAAAUGCUUGACGGGGGCAACUGGUUCAGCCAAGCUCGCACUGAGCCGUCGAGCAUCAGAGGGAGGUGCUUCAUAGCGACAUGGUCGUCCCCUCCUCCGAUCUGGACUGCCACUCGGUAGUCGUCUAGCCAUGUUUCAGGCUUGGAUUCCCCCGUAAAUUUACCGAUUCCAGCUGCCAAUCGGAAGUUGGGCGGGAUGUCAGCCGAGCGGAUGGCUCGACUAAAACACUCGGGGUCGGACACGACGGUCCUGCUGCCACUUGGACGAUCCAGAUCGUGACCAUCGCGGUGGGCUCGACCCCUGUCGACUCUUCGCUGGGCGAUUCGCCCUCUUGCGUCGGGUCUUGGGUCGUAAGUGUCGCCGACUGAACGACGAUCAUCAUGAUGUCGGGACCCAUAGGGCCCACCCCGCGGAGGGGUGCGCGAGCGGCGGCGAUCUUCACNNNNNNNNNNNNNNNNNNNNNNNNNNNNNNNNNNNNNNNNNNNNNNNNNNNNNNNNNNNNNNNNNNNNNNNNNNNNNNNNNNNNNNNNNNNNNNNNNNNNGUAUUAUGGUGGGUGAACGAAUUACUGUCGAGAAAUUGAUAGAACCGUGCAAAGUCAUGAUGAUAUCUAAGGCAAUGAUCAUACAUAUAGGCAUCACGUCCGAGACAAGUAGACCGAUACUGUCUCCAUCUACUACUAUUACUCCACACAUCGACCGCUAUCCAGCAUGCAUCUAGUGUAUUGAGUUCAUAACAAACAGAGUAACACCUUAAGCAAGAUAACAUGAUGUAGAGGGAUAAAUUCAUGCAAUAGAUAUAAACCCCAUAUUUUUACCCUUGAUGGCAACAACAUGAUGCGUGCCUCGCUACCCCUUCUAUCACUGGGUGAGGACACCGCACGGUAUGAACCCAAAACCAAGCACUUCUCCCAUUGCAAGAAUUAUAGAUCAAGUUGGCCAAACAAAACCCACAACCCGAAGAGAAUUACAAGGAUACGAAAUCAUGCAUAUAAGAGAUCAGAGGAAACUCAAAUAAUAUUCAUAGAUAAUCUGAUCAUAAAUCCACAAUUCAUCGGAUCUCGAAAAAUACACCGCAAAAGAAGAUUACAUCGGAUAGAUCUCCAUGAAGUUCAUGGAGAACUUUGUAUUGAAGAUCCAAGAGAGAGAAGAAGCCAUAUAGCUACUAGCUAUGGACCCGAAGGUAUGUGGUAAACUACUCACGCAUUAUCGGAGAGACAAUGGUGUUGAUGGAGAAUCCCUUUGUGUCUGAAUCCCCCCUCCGCGAGGGCACCAGAACGUGCCCCAGAUGGGAUCUUGCGGAGACAGAAGCUUGCGGCGGCGGAAAAGUACUUUCGAUGAUCUCCUGAUUUUUUCUGGAAUUUCCGGGAAUUUAUAGGCGAAAGACCUAGGGCAGAGGUGGCCCAGGGAGCCCACAAGGCUGGGAGGCACGGGGCCCCCUAGCCGCGGCUAGGGGGCUUAUUGGGUCCCUGGUGCCCCCCUGCCUUGGUUCUCAAGCUUCCCGAUCUUUCUCUGUUUCGGAAAAAACCUUUUCGGAAGUUUUAUUCCGUUGGGACUCCGUUUAAAAUCCUCCUCUGAAAAGGGUCAAAAACAUGGAAAAAAACAGGAACUCGCACUUGGCACUGAGUUAAUAGGUUAGUCCCAAAAAAGAUAUAAAAGGCAUAAAAAACAUCCAAAGUUUGACAAGAUAAUAGCAUGAAACCAUAAAAAUUAUAGAUACAUUGGAGACGUAUCAAGNNNNNNNNNNNNNNNNNNNNNNNNNNNNNNNNNNNNNNNNNNNNNNNNNNNNNNNNNNNNNNNNNNNNNNNNNNNNNNNNNNNNNNNNNNNNNNNNNNNNAGCAAAAUGAUGCAUGAAAUGCAAUGUAGCAUGGUUUGAGGUGACUAACAGAACCCUUUGGGUGAUCUUGAUUUGAAAUCAUAAUUCAAAUAUCAUUUGAAUUAUAAUUUAUAAAAUUCCAUUAAUUGAUUUGACCUGAUGUUGUUUCAUAACUUUGUUUCUCAUGCAUGAAAAUAGCACCAUUGGAUUCCUUGAAUUUUUCUGAUCAUUUUACAUAUAUUAUUUGUCAGAUUUGGAGCUAUAUUUAAUUUUGUAUGAAUUUCCAAAGUUUUGAACUUAUUCUGGAAUUAUUUUUAAACAGAAAAUGAGUUAUUGCAUCAGCAUGACAUCAGCAGGUCCAACUGGCCGUUGAAAGUCAAACCUGACAAGUGGGACCCACUAGUCAGUGACUCUGGCCAGUUUUAGUUAAAUUUUAACUUAAUUAGUUAAUUAACAGAGUAGGACCCACUUGUCGGUGUCUAUUUAAGUUAAUUAAAUAAGUUAUUUUUAUUUUUAUUAAAGUUAAUUAGACAGGGGAUGGCCCCACCUGUCAUAGGCUCAGGGGGGUUGAACCCACCUGCGACGAGGUCAAUCUCGUCGGCGGUGAGCCUCCGGCAGCACCACAGACGACAGAGGGCAUCAGAAACGCGUCUUCAAUGACCAAAUGCACGACAGAGGCCACACGGAGAACGGCCACUCGACGACGCGCACAAUGGAGCAAACCCCAGGGGCUGGGGUGGCCGGAAUCGACACCGACGACGAGCUUGGCGGCGACCGAUGCUCGGCCAUCGCCGAGGUCAUCAAAACAGAGGGCAUUUUGCUCGGGGCUGGGCUCCUAGAGCAUCUAUGCGACGAGCUGGAGCCAUUGCAGGCCUCGGAUGGACCAACCGGUCACCGUAGGGCCACCGGCGACGAGCUACCAUGGCGGUCCUCGUCGGGCUCUGGUGAAACUAGGCCUAGAGCUCAAAAUCGAGAGGGGAAACAAGGGGAAAAGCACCCUCAGCUCACAGGGAGUGCAGCGGCAUCGAAAGCAGGCUCGGGGAUGGCCUCAGGAGGGAGAACGGCGGUGGUGAACGUCGGCGAUCCGAGGAAGAAGACGAUGGAGAUCCGGCGAUGCAGGGCUCGGGGGCUUCUUUCCUUUGGCAGAGACGACCAACUCGACGAGGCGGAGCGGACGACACACUCAGGGGCGGGGGAGGACGGCCGGAGCGAUGGCUAGCUCGAGCUCGAGCUCGCGGUCAUGGUGGCCGAGGAAGAGAGAGAGAGGAGAGAGGGUGAAUGAGGAGGGGGAAGAGGUGGGAAUGGAUCCCGAGAGACUUAUCGUCCCUCUCCAGCGCAUCAGGGUGAAGGAGGUGUGCACGUAGGUGUGUGGGCGCGCCAGGAGGAGCGGCGGCCACCUCCUGCUCCGACUGGCGAAGGAGGAAGACGACAGGCGUGGAGGUGGGUUGGGUCUCAGGUGAACCAUAGGUAAGGUUUCUUUCCAUUUUUUCAUUUCUAUUUCUGUUAUUUACUUACUGAUUUUGUUUUGUUUUAUUUUNNNNNNNNNNNNNNNNNNNNNNNNNNNNNNNNNNNNNNNNNNNNNNNNNNNNNNNNNNNNNNNNNNNNNNNNNNNNNNNNNNNNNNNNNNNNNNNNNNNNUGCAUUGUGAGCUGUUUCGUUCAUGAUUGACAUUGCAAUGAAUUCAUCCAACACCUCACUGGAAGACAAGGAGUGGAAGUCUGGUCGCUGACGAAUGACACAUGACAUGGCUUUAUUGAAAGGCAUGAUGGCUUUGAGAAACUUGCGCUUGACCCAUGUGUCAUCCACAUCCUUGAUCCCAUGAUCCUUGAGUGCCACAUCAAUAGCAGUCACUCUUCGAUAGAGAUCACGAGGGUCCUCGUCUUCCUUAAUCACAAACUCAUCGGCCUUAUCAAGUAUCACUUCAUAGUUGGACCGUUGAAUGCUUGAGCUUCCCUUGUACAACACCAUAAUGUGCUCCCAACAAUCCUUGGCCAAUGUGAAGGGACGCAAGUGAGGAAGAUCUUCAGGUGGCACUGCGGACUGGAGAAUAAACAAAGCAGAGUGAUUGUAUUGAUUGUCCGCAUCUUCUCUUGGAGUGAGGUUGCUUGGAUCAUGGGGAUAAUAUCCUUGCUCGAUGAUUCUCCACAAAUUUGUUGAGAUGUGAUUCAAAUGAGACUUAACAGAAAAUACCCAGUUAGCAAAAUCACCUUUCACAAGCUUAGGAGGAGGACCAACAGGAUUAAGACGCGGUGUGGGAACCAGUCCUCCAUAGACUAAGGGUGGCGGAACAGACGCAUACGUCCCAUUCCCAUCAUUUUCGAGAGGUUGGGGAGGUUGCAUACCUUUAGCCGUUUCCCUAACGGAAUUGGCUUCCGAAUCCGUGGUGGUGGGUUUAACCACCAAUGCCGGUUCGGGAGAGUUUUUAAUUCCCUCAAAUAACUCUUUAAGCAUGGUCUUGACCUCGUUCGUCAUGGACGUCUUGAGUACGGCCAUAGCCGUAUUCAAGUCGUCCCUUGUGAUUGAAGUCAAUUCCAUGCCUUCGGUUUGUGCAUGGGGUCCCUCAUCAUCUUCCAUACUCUUCAGGUGGUUAAAACCUUAAUAAAGAGACGUGGCUCUGAUACCAAUUGAAAGGAUCGAUAUGGUUGACUAGAGGGGGGUGGUGAAUAGGCAACGACCACUUUUUAAUUAAUUUUAGCAAGUUAGGGUAAACAACAUACGAGUUCACAAAAAUAACAACAAUGGGGUGAACCGUAAUGAAGCUAACAACAAGAGCUACUAAGACAAGUAAGAGAUAGACAACAACAUAAGCAUACACAAAGUAAAGGUUAGAGAUAACCACAAGUGGAACCAAUGAAGACAAGGAUGUGUUACCGAAGUUCCUUCCCUUUGACAGGAAGUACGUCUCCGUUGGAGCGGUGUGGAGGCACAAUGCUCCCCAAUAAGCCACUAAGGCCACCGUAUUCUCCUCACGCCCUCACACGAUGCAGGGUACCGUGAUUCCACUAUAGGUGCCCUUGAAGGCGGCGACCGAACCUUUACAAACAAGGUUGGGGCAAACUCCACACAAAGCUUGGAGGCUCCCAACAAGACCACGAAGCUUCACCACAAUGGAAUGUGGCUUCAAGGUGACCUCAACCGUCUAGGAUGCUAAAACACCCAAGAGUAACAAGAUCCACAAGGGAUUGGUGGGGGAAUCAACUUUUCUCUUGGUGGAAGUGUAGAUCUAGGCCUUCUCAACCAAUCCCUAAAGAAUCAACAAGUUUGAUUGGCUAGGGAGAGAGAUCGGGCACUUUUGAGCUUAGGGAGCMACAAUGGAGCUUGGGAGGGUAAGAGAUAGGGGUUCCACAGCUAGAAGAACCCCUUAUAUAGUGGGGGARRAAAUCCAACUGUUUUCCCACUCACAGCCCGUGCCUAGCGGUACUACCGCUGGAUGCAGCGGUACUACCGCUAGCACGCGAGCRGUACUACUGCUAGCACACSAGCGGUACUACCGCUGGGCCCAUGNNNNNNNNNNNNNNNNNNNNNNNNNNNNNNNNNNNNNNNNNNNNNNNNNNNNNNNNNNNNNNNNNNNNNNNNNNNNNNNNNNNNNNNNNNNNNNNNNNNNCAUGCAAUAUCUAAGGCAAUGAUCAUACAUAUAGGCAUCACGUCCGAGAAAAGUAGACCGAUACUUUCUGCAUCUACUACUAUUACUCCACACAUCGACCGCUAUCCAGCAUGCAUCUAGUGUAUUGAGUUCAUGACGAACAGAGUAACGCCUUAAGCAAGAUGACAUGAUGUAGAGGGAUAAACUCAAACCAAUGAUGAAAACCCCAUCUUUUUACCCUUGAUGGCAACAACACGAUGCGUGCCUCGCUACCCCUUCUGUCACUGGUUGAGGUCACCGCACGGUAUGAACCCAAAACCAAGCACUUCUCCCAUUUCAAGAAUCAUAGAUCAAGCUGGCCAAACAAAACCCACAACUCGAAGAGAAUUACAAGGAUAUGAAAUCAUGCAUAAGAGGGAUCAGAAGAAACUCAAAUAAGAUUCAUAGAUAAUCUGAUCAUAAAUCCACAAUUCAUCGGAUCUCGACAAACACACCGCAAAAGAAGAUUACAUCGGAUAGAUCUCCAUGAAGAUCAUGGAGAACUUUGUAUUGAAGAUCCAAGAUAGAGAAGAAGUCAUCUAGCUACUAGCUAUGGACCCGUAGGUCUAUGGUGAACUACUCACGCAUCAUCAGAGAGGUCAUGGUGUUGAUGAGGAGGCCCUCCGUAUCCGAAUCCCCCCUCCGGUAGGGCACCAGAACGUGCCCCAGAUGGGAUCUUGCGGAGACAGAAGCUUGCGGCGGCGGAAAAGUACUUUCGAUGAUCUCCUGAUUUUUUCUGGAAUUUCCGGGAAUUUAUAGGCGAAAGACCUAGGGCAGAGGUGGCCCAGGGAGCCCACAAGGCUGGGAGGCACGGGGCCCCCUAGCCGCGGCUAGGGGGCUUAUUGGGUCCCUGGUGCCCCCCUGCCUUGGUUCUCAAGCUUCCGAUCUUCUCUGUUACGGAAAAACCUUUUCGGNNNNNNNNNNNNNNNNNNNNNNNNNNNNNNNNNNNNNNNNNNNNNNNNNNNNNNNNNNNNNNNNNNNNNNNNNNNNNNNNNNNNNNNNNNNNNNNNNNNNGUGAAGAUCGCCGCCGCUCGCGCACCCCUCCGCGGGGUGGGCCCUAUGGGUCCCGACAUCAUGAUGAUCGUCGUUCAGUCGGCGACACUUACGACCCAAGACCCGACGCAAGAGGGCGAAUCGCCCAGCGAAGAGUCGACAGGGGUCGAGCCCACCGCGAUGGUCACGAUCUGGAUCGUCCAAGUGGCAGCAGGACCGUCGUGUCCGACCCCGAGUGUUUUAGUCGAGCCAUCCGCUCGGCUGACAUCCCGCCCAACUUCCGAUUGGCAGCUGGAAUCGGUAAAUUUACGGGGGAAUCCAAGCCUGAAACAUGGCUAGACGACUACCGAGUGGCAGUCCAGAUCGGAGGAGGGGACGACCAUGUCGCUAUGAAGCACCUCCCUCUGAUGCUCGACGGCUCAGUGCGAGCUUGGCUGAACCAGUUGCCCCCGUCAAGCAUUUACAGUUGGGCAGAUCUGGCCCGAGUGUUCGUCAGGACCUUCGAAGGGACGUGCAAACGCCCUGCAGGCCUUGUGGAGCUUCAACACUGUGUCCAGAAGCCGAAUGAGCCCUUGCGCGACUUCAUCCAGCGAUGGACAACUCUCUACCACACGGUGGAGAACGUCACCAAGCAUCAAGCGGUCUGCGCAUUCAAGGCAAGCGUACGGUACAGGGAGUUGUACCUAAAGUUCGGCCGGACAGGCGACAUCUCCAUGAGCAAGAUGAUGGAGAUAGCGGCUCGCUAUGCAAAUGGUGAGGAAGAGGACCGCAUCCGGAGUGGCAAACACAAGACAGUCGGCGAUGCCGACGGAGGUAACACUCGGAAGCAAAAACAGAAAGUUCCGCCCACACCGCAGGCAGAAGCUGUGGCUGUGACCAGCGCCAAGUUCAAGGGUAAAGGGAAAGCGCAGUCUGCCCCCAAGAAGAAGCCGUUCAACAAUCCCAUCCUGGACCAGCCUUGUCCGGUCAACACGAAGAUGGACGAAGAAGGCAACCCCAUAUACGCGAAGCACACCACUCGACAGUGUCGUCUCCUGAUCAAGGGAUUCAGCGGAGGGCAACCGAGUGAGAAGAAUCCUGAACAAGAUGAGGAGGACAAGGAGGAUCCGUUCCCCCAAGUCCAUGCAACCCUCAUGAUUUUUGCUGACGUCGAAAGCAAGAGUCGACUGAAGUUGGUGAACAGAGAGGUCAACAUGGCCGUUCCGACUGCUCCCAAGUUCCUUAAAUGGUCUCAGACUGCGAUCACUUUUGAUCAGUCGGAUCAUCCAACACAUGUCCCCACCCCAGGAAGACAGGCUCUGGUCGUCGACCCGGUGGUGGAAGGAGUCCGACUACGCAAAGUCCUCAUGGACGGUGGUAGCGGACUGAACAGCAUGUACGCUGACACUCUCAAGGGAAUGGGCAUUCCAAUGUCCAGACUCAUCGAGAGCAGUAUGCAGUUCCACGGAGUCGUCCUUGGACGGAAGGCCAAGUCACUCGGCCAGAUCGCGUUGGACGUCAUCUUCGGCUCCGACAAGAACUUUCGCAAGGAGAGGCUCACAUUUGAGGUGGUGGAUUUCCAGAGCGCUUACCACGCAAUUCUGGGCCGCCCGGCAUACGUGAGUUUCAUGGCACGUCCAUGCUAUGUGUACUUGAAGCUGAAGAUGCCCGGCCCAAAAGGAGUUAUCACCAUCACGGGCAACCGCCAGCGAGCCGAGGAGUGUCUGCAGGAGGGAUCAAGAAUCGCUGACCAGCAGAUGGCGGUACUCGAGCUCGAUGAAUACAAGAAGACAGUCGACCCUGCCGACCUGAUGCGCUCAAAGAAACCAGUUUCUGAGUCCGCGUUCCAGUCGGCGGGAGAGACGAAGAAGGUCGGCAUCCACCCGACAGACGACUCUGCCGCCCCGACGAACAUCUCCACCACCCUCGAUCCUAAAUAGGAAGCCGAGCUCACCCAAUUCCUCCGUGAGAACUGGGACAUCUUCGCAUGGAAACCAUCUGACAUGCCGGGUGUACCCAGGGAGUUGGCUGAGCACCGAGUGCAUGUGGAUCCCGCCGCUCGGCCUGUUCGAGAGCGCCUGCGCCGGUCCGCCACGCACAAGAGGAAGGCAAUCGGAGAAGAGGUGGCCAAGCUGUUGGCUGCCAACUUCAUUCGCGAGGUUCACCACUCCGGGUGGCUCGCCAAUGUCGUCAUGGUGCCCAAGAAGGACAAGUCACUCCAAAUGUGCAUUGACUUCAAGCAUCUCAAUAAGGUCUGCUCGAAAGACCAUUUUCCGCUCCCCCGCAUAGAUCAAAUUGUCGAUUCGACUGCGGGAUGCGAGCGUUUGUCAUUUCUUGAUGCCUAUUCGGGCUAUCAUCAGAUCCGUCUGUAUGGUCCCGAUGAGUUGAAAACAGCCUUCAUCACCCCGUUUGGGUGCUUCUGCUACAUCACUAUGCCUUUCGGUCUGAAGAAUGCAGGAGCUACCUUUAUGCGCAUGAUCCAAAAAUGUCUCCUCGACCAGAUCGGUCGCAAUGUGGAGGCAUACAUGGAUGAUAUCGUAGUCUAGUCAUGCAAAGGUUCCGACCUGCUGACUGACUUGGCGGAAACAUUCGCCAACCUUCGUAGGUACGAUAUCAAGCUCAACCCAGCCAAAUGUUCAUUCGGUGUUCCCAGCGGAAAGUUACUCGGUUUCUUCGUUUCCUAACGAGGGAUCGACGUUAACCCCGAAAAGAUCGGGACCAUCGUCCGAAUGGAGAGGCCGGUUAGAAUACACGAUGUUCAACGGCUCACAGGUUGCCUAGCGGCUUUGAGCAGGUUCAUCAGUCGACUCGGCGAAAAAGCACUUCCUCUGAACCGACUCAUGAAGAAGUCAGAUACCUUCGAGUGGACAGACGAAGCUCAAGUCGCAUUCGACGACCUCAAAGUCCUACUUUCCACCCAGCCGGUUCUUACUGCUCCGCUCAGUAAAGAGCCCCUUCUUCUAUAUAUCGCGGCUACAAAUCAAGUCGUCAGUACUGUUCUUACAGUCGAGCGAGAAGAAGAAGGCAAAGCAUACAAAGUUCAGCGGCCAGUGUACUACGUCUCCGAAGUCCUGACCCCUUCCAAGCAGAGGUAUCCCCAUUAUCAAAAACUUAUCUAUGGGAUCUAUAUGACUGCGAAGAAGGUGGCUCAUUAUUUCCAAGACCACUCGGUAUCUGUUGUUUCUGAUGCUCCGUUGUCAGAAAUUCUCCACAAUCGAGACGCAUCAGGCCGAGUGGCGAAGUGGGCAAUGGAGAUGCUAUACUGUGACAUCAAGUUCGAGGCCAAGAAAGCUAUUAAGUCUCAAGCCCUCGCUGACUUUAUAGCAGAAUGGGUAGAACAACAGCAACUGACCCACAUCUACUCGGCUCAUUGGACAAUGUUCUUCGAUGGGUCUAAGAUGUUGAAUGGCUCCGGCGCUGGCGUUGUGAUCAUAUCACCAAAAGGCGACAAGCUCAAGUACGUGCUUCAGAUACACUUUGAUUCCUCCAACAACGAGGCGGAGUAUGAAGCUCUCCUCUACGGAUUGCGCAUGGCCAUCUCACUCGGCGUCCGUCGCCUGAUGGUCUAUGGCGAUUCGGAUUUGGUGGUCAACCAAGUGAUGAAAGAGUGGGACGUAAGGAACCCCACCAUGACAACAUACUGCAAUGCAGUGAGGAAGCUGGAGAAGAAGUUUGAAGGUCUAGAGCUCCAUCAUGUUCCGAGGCUGAAGAACCAAGCAGCUGACGAGUUGGCGAAACUUGGAUCCACUCGGAGACCAGUCCCGAGUGAUGUCUACCUCGAGCACCUCCAUCUUCCCUCAGUCAAAGAAGAUCCCUUCACAGAAGAACCGGUACAACCCAAGAGCGCAACAGAUCCGACUGAAGUCGAUGUACCUGCUGUGGUUGAUCUGGUCACGGAGAUUCUGGUUGUCAUUCCCGAUUGGACUGUGCCGAUCAUUGCAUAUAUCCUAAGGCAAGAACUUCCAGAAGAUGAAGUCCAAGCCAGGCAAAUAGUUCGCAGGUCGAAAGCAUUCACUGUCAUUGACGGUCAAUUGUACAAGGAGAGUGUUUCAAGCGUUCUUCAACGCUGCAUUUCCCCGGAGGAAGGACAGUUGAUCUUAGAGGAUAUUCACUCGGGAACCUGCGGUCAUCACGCUUCUUCAAGAGCAAUCAUCGCCAAGGCAUUCAGAGCCGGUUUCUUUUGGCUGCAGGCCAACGAGAUGGCUAAAUAUAUGGUCGAACGAUGUGAAGGCUGUUAGUUCUACUCCAACAAGUCCCACAAGCCAACAUCUGCAUUAAAGACAAUCCCACUUGUGUGGCCAUUUGCAGUUUGGGGAUUAGACAUAGUCGGACCAUUCAAGACAGGCCAAGGAGGCUACACACAUCUGUUGGUGGCAGUCGACAAGUUUACAAAAUGGAUAGAAGCUAAGCCCAUCAAGAAGCUCGACGCCUCAACAGUUGUCAAGUUUGUCAGGGACAUCAUUUCCAGAUUCGGGGUACCUCGCAGCAUAAUCACGGACAAUGGGACAAACUUCGACUCGGACAGAUUUAAAGGCUUCUGUGCGAGUCAGGGUAUCCGAGUGGAUUUUGCUUCCGUAGCACAUCCGCAAUCCAACGGGCAAGCUGAGCGUGCGAAUGGACUUAUCCUUCAAGGUUUGAAGCCCCGACUCUUGCGAGAGGUAGGGCAUGCUGCUGGUGCAUGGGUCACCGAGUUACCUUCAGUGCUUUGGGGCCUCCGCACCACUCCGAACAGAUCAACGGGGCGAUCACCGUUCUUCCUCGUUUAUGGGGCAGAAGCGGUCCUUCCGAGUGACCUGCUUCACAAUGCCCCACGAGUCGAACUCUUCUCCGAAGCUGAAGCAGAGCAAGCAAGGCAAGAUGGAGUCGAUCUUCUAGAGGAAGAGCGCGAGAUGGCACUUACUCGCUCAACAAUUUACCAGCAAGACCUGCGACGCUUUCAUGCGCGUCACGUCAGGAGUCGCACAUUCCAAGCUGGCGAUUUAGUGCUCCGAGUGGAUCAACAAAGACCACACAAGUUGGCUCCGGCUUGGGAAGGGCCUUUCAUCAUCUCCAAGGUGCUGAACAACGGAGCAUACAGACUCUACAACAUCUAGAGGGAGACAGACGAGCCGCGCGCAUGAAACGGAGAUCUCCUCAAGCGUUUUUAUACGUGAUCGUCGACUGAAGCACUGUAACGAACAAGUUUUGACGAAAUAAUAUAUACAGCAGAUUCAGUUUUGUGCAGAUUCAGAGUUCUCCCACGGUCGCAGACUCCGGUCACAAAAAAAAAA
rnacentral:lncRNA from 1 species